GUCGACAACACAGUAAACCUACCAUACUCUAGGCAAAGGCAAAGGUUAAGCCAAGUUCAAUAAAGGAAUAGUGGGGACCCUUUCGAAAGCCCCUGCGCGUUAUUCAUUUAUUAUAUAUGAGUUCAAAGCGAAAAGCAGGUAUAGCUGGGCCAGCAGUCAUAGGUGUAAGGUUCAAACCCACUUCUACGAUUGUACCUACAUUCCAUUCAACAAGUCCUGGACAAAUUGUCCCGCUGACAGCACUGAUAAUACAUACGAUUCAACUCAUUAACCUUAACUGUCAACUCAAACACAUUCAUUUAUUAUCUUUCCCCCCACCUGUUAUGUAGGAAUAAAUGGAAUCAUAGGAAGGAAGAUCAAAUGGAAUCAUAGGAAGGAAGAUCACAGGACUGACUGAGCUUGAGUAAACUAGUACUUAAAGCUAUAAUGAACCUGCUUUUGACCUUCCGCCAGUGCUCACUUUUGUAGGCUAAUGUCUUGUCUUGUCCCGUGUGGUUCAGAGCUCACUAAAGGAGAGGCAGGCCACUUGCUAUCAAUAAUCAAUACAUAAAGAAGUCAAGUAAGGGUUGAGUUAAGUAGUUGGAUUGCCAGUUGCUAGUUAAGAUCUUAUAAGCACUAGGUUGAUUCUUUCCAUAAGUGAAACAUACUUUAGCUACACUCUUUUCGGUAGAGAGUGGCCGUGUUAGUAUCAAAAUCACAGGUGUAAUAUGGUUUAAAGGGAAGUAGUAAAGCUUUGAAGUCCGUAGUAGCAGACCGUAGUCACAGACCAAUAGGCAGGAAUAUCAGAUUUGAAGCGAGUAAAGGCAGCUUUGUUCUCGGCAGUUAAAGAGGACCCUAGAUCGAGUCCUGUUAGUAUUAGUACUAGGUUCAAGCCAAACAAGUAAGGAUCCCCGGACCAGAAGCUAAAGCAUGUAAGUAAGGUUCAUAGACAAUAAAGCAAGGUUCGAGUUGCCCUAUUUCAGUCUGAUUAGCAGUGGUGCAAUUCCGAGUUACCAGGUUCCUUAUUCUAGUUAGUGGGGGUGACUUGGGAACACUUGUUCCAUUAUAUAUUCCUGCACCACGACUUGGAGUUAGCCCCGGUUCCACUCUGUUAGGGGCCCGUUCGAUUCCUGUAUGCCGGAGAAGUUCCCCAUUCUUUGAAUUACCUCUGUCAUUCCUCUCUUGGGGGCGUGCCCAGCCGCGGAGUUCCUAGUUCAAGCCCUAUUAAGUAGUGUUUCCAUUCUCUCCGGUAGUGAUUUCACUCUUUCCAGUGGUCAUUGGAUCUCCGGUUUCGAGUUAACAUAUUGGAAGUAGUAGGCUUUCAGCACCUAGGGAAAAGAUAAGGAUGAUUAGCAUUGAUUCAAUUACCGUUAGCAGCAGUAUGGGUCUUGUCAACAGUGAUUCAAUUCCAAGUUCUAAGUUAUCAUAUUAGAAGCACUAGUGAAAGUCUGAGUUAGUGCCCAAAGGAUUAUUAUUAUAGGUUGAAAGCAAAUAGAGCAAGUAGGUUGAAAGCAAAUAGAGCAAGCCUUGAGCUGUGGGUAAGGUUCGAGGACAAUAGGGAAGUAAAUAGAAGGAAGAGUCAAGGGCAUAAGAGUGAGGGCCAAGCAAGUAGUAGAAGUAAUGGUUCAAUUACUCUGUUAUAGGGAUUAGGCUUAGAAGCACUAGUUUCUUUCUUGAGAAAUAAUAAUAAUUUAGAUAAGUUACUACAAGCGGGUAUCUCGGGCGAAAGGAUGCUACCAGUGUUGGAGGCUUUGAAGCGGGGGAAUAGAAGUAGUAUCAGAAAGUUUUCUCAUCAAUCAUAGCGGGAAGCUAUUCUUCACAGGAGAUGCAGGUCACUUCCCGAGUGUUGCUGGAACAAUAGCAUUAGGGAGUUUACCCCGUUAGAUGAGGAUACACCAGUGGAAUCUAUCUCUUUAAAAUAGAUCAUAUAUAUCAUAGGAAUUGCCCCAAACUCUAUCUUCCAAAGCACUUAGUCGUAGCCAAACACUUGAACUAGCACUAUAGGCAGUUUCAACAACCAAUCUCUCUUCUCUUCUUGCCAACCCGAACUAACUCUAUCCUGCCUGCCGACCUAAACUCGUCUGUCUGUCUUUCUUUCUUAUGAGACCCCUCAGGACUACUACUUGUUGAGUCAACUACUCCCUGACUAACUCUUUCACUAGGGUAGGGCUCAACUAAUACAUAGCUCUCUGUGGGCAGUCUCUUACUAAUACAUACUUCAUGAACUCCCUUACAAACUCUUUCACUCGAAACUCCUCUUAUUUAAUUACCUGAUGCUAUACUAGAGUCACUAGAAACAUUCCAUUCUUCAAUUCAAACUAAACCAAUAACUCCUAUAGUGCAUAUUCAUUUCGCAGAUCAAUUGAACUGUAACACAACUAUAAGCCUUAGCGCAACUAACUCUCUUAAAGACUAAGAUCGGUAGGCUAUCCUAACUCUCCUUUCUGAACCGACUUCACUGUCUACGCCAAUGUCACUUACCUCCGCGAGUCUAGUUUUUGGGAGUUACAUGGGCUACUCAGAACAUAGGUGUUACGACGCAAAAAGAAGUAAAGGGAUCUUGAAUCCAUUAUAUAUGUAGAAUCUUCUAGCUAUAUUAUAUUCAAUAUGAAAGAAAGCAGUAAGCUGUCUGGUUACGAUCUUAUAUUAGCUGUCGUUCCUAUCAAUACUAUAAGCAACGGAAUAAACAAACACUAUUAUUGACACAAGCAACAGAACAACUAAAUGCGUUAGUGCGCAGAUAAGGGGUGUUAACGUCAGUUAGUAUAGUGUAGGAGUUUUUUGACUCAAUGUUCUAAAAUGUGUCUAUUUCUAUUCUUUUAUUAGUAGUUUAGAGUGUUUUUCAUCUCUUCCUCCAAUAUUAGUUUAGUUAAGCUAUCUUCUGCUCACCAAGCAAACAAUAAUGUUUAUGACAUGUAUCAAAAGUGUAACACCGCUUACUUGCAUUCGGCUUAUAUCGGCUCGAACAUAGGGAGACUCAUAUUCCAUACUUAUAGGUUCUGGAACCCCACUUGCACUUGUGGAUUUGCUUGUUCCCCGAGAGUAAGCGUUAGCACAAGUUCAAGUAAGCCUUAGUGUAACGGCUUAGCACCCUAAUAAAUAAGCGUUAGUGAGUUACAACAGUAAGGUUAAUCAAUGACUUUAGUUGUGCACUCAUAUUCAAAUAGUCAGGGCAGUCUGGUUUAUAUCUUACAUAAGUUGUGCACUAUCAUUCAACGCGCGUUAGGCUUAUAGUGUUGGAUGCUUACGCGAGUGACUACCUAUAUUCCUUCUUAAAGGAGGCCAGCCGUUAGUUUACUAUUCCACGAUAUCUUAAAGGAAGCCAGCCGUUAGUUUACUAUUCCAUCAAUGAUAUAUGAUGAUAGUUCAAUUAUAUUCCGACUUCACACUGGCCUAAACAGAACUGCUUAACUCUGAUUGUCCGUGCUUUCCCGGUCGCAGGAACAGAACUGCAACUAUACCUUCCCUCUAGAACACCUAUGAUGGUAGUAAUAUACUCCUCUUAUGCUCUUAACUGUAUGUAUACGCCUAUAUAGCGAAUAAGACUCGCGCCCACCUUUCCUUUCUAAAGCCUUUGCUUGUUACAUUUCAUCUAGUGCACAUCAACAAAGAAAAUAGACAUAAAGUCAACUAACAGAAUAAAGUCAACUCACUCUUUACUCUAAACAAGAAUCAUUCAUAUCAGAGGAAGAAUCACUCAUAUCAUAGACGCAUCCGCUAAAGUCAGCCCUUCGCGCAACAACCAAAAUAAGUUAGCGCCCCGAAAGCUCACGUAAGUACUAGUUUGUUCCGUUGCUUGGCCCUUAUUUGAUAUUAGAAUUGGGUUUCUCAUAUGUUUAUUUGAACCUAUUUUAGGGUAGUUCAUUAGCUAAACUAGGGCAAAAACCAGCUAGCUCAGCUCGAGUUAUUCUCUUUUUUAGCAAACAACAGCAAGUUCUAUUCUCCUUUUUAGAUGUUUGUGCGUUACCCCCAAAGACGGAGCAUACCUUUCAGCUCACAAAGAAUUCAGGGUGCUACGACAAGACCGAGUGGUGGAUGGUCGCUUACAGAAUGAGUUACCCGACUUGAAGAAUAAGGACACGCCCCAGGGACAAUGAACAACAAUGCAUGAACGAUCGUGUCCGAAGACUUAUUGCUUGUGCAUGGUCGCUUACAGACUUAUUGCAUGAUCGCUUACAGAAUGAGCGGGUGCAUCAGAGAAUUAUAGUAUUGCAUUCAAGUUAUUUUAUAAGAGAUUCUAUAGUAUUCUAUUAGGAAAAUGUGGUAUCAAAAGGACAAUUGCUUUUCUCAUUUUGUAUAAAAAAACCAGCUUUUCCAAUUGUAUUUUAGGCUGUUUGUGUGGCAGCGAUGUACCUUCAAUGAAUGCCCCGAGGUACCUUCCACGCCGGGGGAUCUUCUUUCUAUGCACGACCGACCGACCACCAGAAGACUUACUGAAUGAAUGGACCUACUAUGCUUUAUUGAUUGAAGACCGAGUGAACUACCCUGUAUUUAUUGUUGGCCCCUAGCCCUGUUGCCAGACCCCUUCGAUGCACGACCGAACGAACAAUGAACGAGGUACGUAGUUGACAGGAGAGGCUUAGUUGCCAGCUGCAGGGCUAGUUGAAAGAAGUAUUUGAACUCAGGCUCCUCCACCGUAGUAAACAAAUGAAGUGAAGUUCGCUACCUGUGCUACUACUACCGGGCAAAAGUGUGCUACCGGGCGAAAGUCUGCUACCAGUCUGAUUGGCAAGCGCAACUCUUAUUUGAAAGAAUGGAGCACUAGGGAGUACUAUCCGGGUUUUUGCCUUACUACUAGCUUGGCCCAUGACUUAUGAUAACUCUAGCCGGAACCCAGGCUUUCACUACGGAUCUCGAAACCUGCUAUCAUUUCUUGCUUUACGGCAUCUAAGAAUAGAGCUGUGCGCCAGGGAACAAUACCAGAACCCAAAACAGGGAAUUGACCAGUACCCUAAGGGACUGAACUCUCAAAAGGGAAUUGCACCCGAACCACUGAUAACAAGAACUCUCCCACCAACACUCCCUAGUUAUUUAUUUCGAAUUGCAAAACUAGACCUUUAGCUACUGGCCUCGAACCUUGCUCUACUGGGGCCUAUGCUAUUACCUUUCCCACUGGUUCAGUCUUACUUGACUUUGUUUUCAUUCCCUUGGAUACGCACCCUAGGUCUGCUACUACUUCAUCUCAAUCUUAGCAUUCUAUCUUGUAUUCCAUCUUGUUCAUUUCAUUAUGGAAUUAAGUAUUCCUUCAUUGUAUAUAAGAUUCAUAAGUAGGCUACCCAUGUCCGCCACUAAACAAAAUAAGGCUUAAAUCGCAGUUAACAGGGCUAUAUCUCACAACUAACUAGGAAGUCCGCUACUACUUCCAAGACUUCCUUUCCUUUCUUUUAUUUCUUGUACUGAUGCCAACAGCACUAGUUUUCUCAUAACCGGGGAUCAAACAAAUAAGUAAGAGAACGAAACCAAUAUACACCAGUAAUAGAAUCACAAAUCACUUCAAAACUAAUAAGAGAAUAGAGCUGCUGGCAAACUGGCCUACUCGACUUUCUUUUGAGUCUGUAGCUGCUGACUUCUAACCUUACUACUUGGAGUACCUUGCCUAUAUAUCUCCUCUACCUAACAGGUUUCGAACUUUUACUUCGCCUCUUUAGCAGCUUACUUCUUUUUCUUGCCGUUCUUGCCAUUAUUGCCUGCCGUUUCUUAUUUGUUCCUAAGAUGUUUCGUUUCUUAUUUGUUCCUAAGACGACCGGUUUCUUAUUUGUUCCUAAGACGACCGGUUUCUUAUUUGUUCCUAAGAUGUUUCUUUAUUUGUUCCUAAAAGAUAAUGUUUUUCUUAUUUGCUCCUUAAGACGGUUUCUGACUUUUAGUCGCCGUUACUUUAUUCUUAUGAAUGUGAGUGCAAAAGAAUGGAUUUAGGCUUCCAAGCUGUAAGUUGUUUGCUUGUUCCUAAGCUUGUUCCUUCCCCUCUUUGUAGUUACGGACUUAUUCUUCAGUUGACAAGUAGUAGUCCAGGUUGACAGCCCGUUUACAGCACCAACAAGUAGAAAUGCCCCAUAAAGUAUAUGUUUUCACUCUAUCUUAUAUUAACUCUAUGGCUCCUUAAAUGAGGAAGCCCCUUACUGGAUAAAGCCCCUUCCUUAUAGUACUAGAGCCAGAAAUCAUAAGUAGCAAACGAAGCUAAUCUUUCUCUGGCAACUAGCUAAUCUUUCUCUGGCUAAUGAUUCUCUGCAGUACUACCGGUAUUCCACUGGCAUAACAUCUUCAGAUUGAAACAAUCAAAGGAAAGCGGGAAUAUCAAUAUCCGUUUUCUCAGAAGCGCCCCCGGAAGUAGCGAAUUGUAGCAAGUUGACAGUAGCAAGGGGGAUAGAUCUAGCUGGUACGAGGGCAGGGUAUCGAAAGGGAGUUCUUUUCUGGUCUGCCCUGUUUUGUGGAAUCCUAUUUAGAAGCAGUUCGAAAGUAAGGUUAAGGCAUGGGAAGGAAAUCAAUCAAGAAAGAAGGUCAAUCCAGAAAGCAAGAAAGAAGGUUGGAAAAGGGGGUUCUUGUUUUGAAAGAAAGGAGACCGGGUUCAAUUAAUUGUAUCCAUAGGUAUUGUAGCUAGCAGGGUGAAAUGCAUUGUUGCGAGUUAGCUGAGUCUGCCUUCUUGCCAUUAACCUUAUUAGUAGUAGUUCUGGUUUGAUUCUUUUGUUUUAUACCUUCCCUUCCCGAUCCUGUCUCUGAUCCUUAUCUAGUUGAUGCUUAUGAUACAAAGCUAACCUCUGAUCGAGUAGACCUAACUAACCCUUUGUUUGCCUCUGCUUUCUUUUACUCCGCCACAACAUUUGUUUGAUUCCCUUAGUAACAGUGGUUUUCAUUGACCUCUCCCUCGCAUCAAAGGCAAUAAUCGAACAGUUCUGCUUCCUCGCCUCGAAUCAAAGCCAAUAAGACUUGUAUGCCAGGUAUGCCAGGUUCAGAGGCUUAAUCAAGUUAGAUUACAUGCGGUAGGCACGAUAGGAGACAUGUAGUGAGUGACUGGAUGUAGCUUUUUCGCCUCUGAUACGGAUCUCAGGUAAGCCAACAACUCAGUUGCUACUGGACUUAGGGAAGAAAGGAAGGAACCAUAAAGAAGGGAACCGUCCAGAUUAGGAUUUCCUAUCAACUAGAGCAGCCUGAAAGUACCAACAUAGGUAAUUUGCCAAGAGUUCAAUCAAUAGUUAUACAUCAAUAGUUCAAUCAAUAGUUCGGUGCCCUUACCGAGUGCUGUCUUCUGCUUACGUAAGAGUGAGUUUCAAGUCCAGUGCCCCAUUAAGAACCUGCCGAGCGUCAGUCAUUGCCAGUGGUUUCAUCUGUCUUUGUUGCAAGAGGGAUAGGAGAGGUUACUAACUAGUUGAAGUAAGUAUAAGUCAGUUUCGAAUACCGCGGCAAAGCCAUGACUUUCUUUCUUACUGCCCGGCACACAAGCACUUCUGGAAGUUACUUUAGAGGCGAGGGCAGCGUCAGCUGCGAUGCCGAGUAGUUAUUGUAAACCUUGCCUAACAAAGCACUUAGUAUAAGCUUGGCCUCUAUUCUGUAAUUGAACCUUUGUAGUAGUGGCUUUGCUCGAGAACAAGUAUAAGAAAACAGUGAAGUGAGUUGAGUAGUUAAACGGAAGAAGAUCUGAUGCCGGGCCGGGUGUUGAAGAAUAAAGAUCAGGUACGAGUAUAAAGAUCAGGAUCAGAUGCCCAAUCGACUUCUGUUUGAGCAGUAACUCGCUAACGGAGCUUCCAAUUAGAAAGUACUGAGUGCUGGUAAGGGGGAUUCUAUAUCCAGAGUUGCAUCAAGAACAUUCCUUAUUCUAUCUAUCUUGGCUCUGAGGCGGGUGAGGCAGCUUUAUCAACAGAAUAAGGGUUUACAGUCCCAACAAGAACAAGAACAGGAGCAGAACUACUUGCUACAGGCUCCGCUCUAAGAGCCGACUUUAGAUUGGAUUUAUACCUUCCUUUUUGCUCUGUUCCCCGGGCAUGCUCCUAAAGAUGGGUUUCGGUGUCAGAUUAGCGUGAUAAGCCAAUAAAUCCUUCUAGCUUCUUUUCUACUUUCACUAUUAACUCAAUUAGAAUUGCACUCGGUAGGAGGAAGUGAGCUAAACGUUAGCGAGUCCGGGAUUCACUGGUUCAAUUCUGAGUUACCGGACUCGUGCUUAGAAGGUUCGUGCAUCGAAUGUACCUCGGGGAUUCAUAGAUCAAAUAUACAAAUAGUAGUCCUUUUUGACUUUACUAGGAUAACAUCUAUUCUUUUAGGUACGAGUCGGAUUCUUUAUUAAUAGCGAUAGCCUUGUGAUCACACCAGCAGGAUUCUACUCCUGGAUGCACAAAGAUCCUAUUCUCAAUAUAAGCUAACUAAAUAAUGAAUCAAAUGCAAUAACAAGAGAAUCAAAGACAAGCUUAGAUGAAGUAGUGGCAGAAUAGGAGACAGGGAAGUAAUACUAAAGGGUUCAGGCAGUAAGCCUUAGAGACAGGAAAGGAAGGCGCUAACAAAGGCAUGUAAGGCAGGAGUUUAGUACUGAGAUAUAAGGUAUAAAGCCUGGGUUCCUCGCUCAAGUAGUAGUGGGAAGGUCCUUAAGCUAUGUGUUUGAGGUUCAAUUCUUACUGAUAGUAUAGUGAAGGUCAUUAGCGAUUCGAUUCCUGUUAGCGGUAGUGCUAGUGUAUAUUUCCUACUUUUCAUAAAGGAGAGGCAGCCUUGGCUCCAGGUAGAGUCGUACUUAUGUUCAAGGUAGUAAGCAUGAUAGCUAGUAGGGAAAGGAUCGGUGUCAGUAGGGGGGAUAAGUUCCAGUAUUGCCGGCACCAGUGUGAGUUUUCAAGUCAAAAGAGUUAGGCUUGGGUUGGGGAGAGGUUAGUAGGAAUGAGAUCGAGUAAUGGCAGUUCCAUCUAUUUUGGUUGUAGUCAGUACACAUCGAGUUCAAUCCAUUGUAAGUAGUGUUCAAAUCUGGUAGUCGUUAGUUUCGUUCCCGCUCCUAGUAGCCUAAGGUUGCGGGUAAGGAGACAUAGGCCGAUGUGUAAAGUUGUAAGAAUCGGAAACUGUAGAGGCAGGCUUGCUAUCGGUGUUUUCACUCUCAUCAGUGGUGUCACCGUUGGGGUCUUGCCGGCAGUGGUUCCAUUUGUUAUCAUAAGUAACAGGACGCUCUAUUCUUUCCGCUAUUGGCAUCAGGCUGAAGUAGCAAGCAAGCAUAGUCAGAAUCACAGUAAGUAGUUAAAGAACGGUAGCCUGGAUAGUAAGCUCGAUAGUAAGUAAAGCAAGGUGAUUAUAGGAGUAGUUAAGUUGGCAAGUAAGUCAAGUCAGACCUGGAGUUAAGGCAGGUAUGGACAUACAUAAGUAUGUUGUGGGGCUAUUUAGUCUUGUCGGGUAGGUAGUAAGCCCCCUAUUAGCGCUAGGUUAAGUCUGUUCGCCAGUACAGUAGUUCCAUUCCAUGUUAUAUAAGUCAAAGGACUAGAAGCACUUGUCGAAUUCCCUAUUAUAAUCAAGUAUGAAAGCGCUAGGUUAAGUCCCAUAAGUACUAGCUCAAUUCCGAUACGAUAACAAGGUUCGAACAGAUAAGUACGAGAAUACAUCUACAGCUUCUAAGCAUUAAGCUACUGACUCGGAGUUACACUCUACUAUCAACAAGAUCGGAAUGUCACUCAACUAUCAAUAAUAAUAGUACUGGUACCUAACCUAGGAGGCUUAACCCACAAACCAACUCUGUCUUUCCUUGUUAUUAUGCUUACCACUUGGGUUCUGAAACUCCAUGCUUGAAUUCCGUAUUUACUGCUCGAUUCUUCCUUCCCGGGAGAAGUACUCAUUCUUCUGUUCCUGAUGUAAGAGUUACUUUCUUAUCAGUAAGGGGAUCAGACUUCAAAGAAGGAGUAGCCGAACGAGGGUGAUUCACUAGUAACAUAUAAUAAAGAAGGAUAACGAAAGUAACAACACAUGAUAUAAUUAAGUAACCUCCCUGCGAUACUCACUUAUUUAUUGCUGACAGAUUAACUACGCUUACUCACUUAUUGAAUUUAAGUAAGUAGCAAGCAGAGGAUACUCUUUAAGACGACAAGACCAGACGAUCGGGACCAUAAGCUAUUUAAUCUGGUGUUUCGGAAUCAAAUAAGUAUUUCGACUUCUUCUUCCAAUGCAUCAAAGGAAAGGGCUGGGCUCGCGCAGGAGCUCAACUGACACGACACGCUUAAGCGCUCGCUAACGCAUCAACUUAAGAAUAUAUUAAGGCACCCAUUGAUGCACCUUCACCCGGCCUUAUAGUAAUUCGCUAACGUUAGAGUUUUGCUCCUGAAAAUAGGACUUGUUCCAUGUAUAUUAUUGGAUUCUAUAUUAUAUUAGUAUAUGGAGCAAUAGGUUUCUAAAUAGAGCAAUAGGUUUCAAGUUGGCUUACGUUCAGUUCAUCUCUGAUAGACCAGUUAUCGUUGGCAGUAGUUCAUAAUCAGAAUCCGUUUUGCUAGAAGCGUCGGCUCCAUCAGGACAGGAAAGGUGUGUGUGAUUAUAGCUUGAGUCAGACCACAGGUAAUAAAAGAUGUAUUGGUGCUUUACUUAUCUCGUACUUUACUUAUUUCUGACUGAACUUAUUUCGUAUCUAGGUGCUUUACUUGCUUGCAACUUCGUAUCCUAAAGCAUUAACAACAACAGUAAAGAGCAGCAGUAGGGCGAGUUAGACGUGCGAGUGGCACUAUUACUAUACUGUGAACUCAAUUCCAUUCUUAAGUGCAUGUCGUAUAUAAUAUAAUGUAUUUUGAUUCGCCCCUUGUAGGUAAGCAGUGAGUUUAGUUUACAAAUAUGAUUCUAUAAAGGAAAGGGUGAACUCAAUUCCACAAGGGUAGAUAAAUGACUGUACUAAGUGAAGCGAAAGAAGGAAGUGUUGUAAAUUGUUUUGUUACUUAUUUCUAUCAUGUGUCCUACUUGACCUUUAUACUGUGAUAUGUCUACUUCACCCCUGUCUACUUUAUGAACUUAACCGCUGAUUCUAUCUAUAAUUACACUCGAAAGCAACCCUGAGAGAAGGUCGAGAAAUCUUAAUUAAGGGUAGACCUUGAAAGCCUGAUUAAGGGUCGCUGUUCUCUAGCUUAGCUUCUGAUUCGCUAACAAGUCCCUCGUGGCAAAGAGCCUUUGAGGUGAGACCACUUUUGAGACUUUCCAUCCUAUUACCAAUAACAAGAAGUAUAAUAUAGUUGAGUAUAAAAUCCAAGAGUUCGGUACCAUUAAUGAAAGGUAUAGCUCGGUGCCACCAUAGUUGAUAGACCAUAGUUGAUAGUUGGAGUUAUUAUUAUUAUUAUAGUAGUAGUCGUGUCAUACCAAAAGCAAGUAAUAUAAGACCACUAGCCGGGAAGGUAAUACUGAUUGAUAGGCAUGUCAAGUCAGAGUUGUUCCCGGGGUAUUUAUUUGUAUGUCGCUAUUCUUUUUUUUAGUACGAGAGACACGAGCUCAAUUCUAGUAGUCAUAGUGGCCUUUCUUAUUUCUUAGUGCAUUUCUUUUUGAUACUAGUUCCGUUAUUUGUAUUGGCAACUCCAUUCCCUUUCUGGUGUAAUACGUAUUAGCAGUAUAUAGUCUGUAUUUCCACUUUGAUUCCUUAAAAGCACCUAGAGACCCUUAAAAGCACCUAGAGACUAAGUAGUUAGCGUUGGUACUUCAUUCGCGGACUACCCAAGGGAAUUCUGAUUAUGGAAACUCAACCUAUGGCUACUCAUUCGCUUUUAGUAGGUGCGCCACACAGACUUCAUUUACUUAUUCCUGGGCUCGAGCGUAAGGUCGGGAUUCUUAGACCCAAUCUUCUUAUGGCCUUUUGUACUCCUUAUUUACUAUCUCAUUAUUUCAUUUGAAACACACACAGUCUCUUCCUUUUGGGGUUCCUUUAGUUUCCUUAUUGCAUCUUCACUCUUCUACUUCUUAGGACAAAUCUGGAUUUCCUAAUUCAAUGUCUUAAAGCUAUGCCAGGCAUCCUUACAGUUGAGGUUGGUUCUAAUACGUAUUUCUAGUAUCCUGACUUCUGUGUUUAAGUCAACCACUUUAGUUUAGGUAUUCUACUUAUGAGAUGAGUGCAAUUCUGACUGCUAGUAAGUUCAAGUCCCGUCCUGGUCUUAUCGGUUUUAUAGCAGUACUGGUAGGCUGACUUUAUAGGUGACUUCUUCAAUUCCUAGUGUAUAGCUUCAUUAUAAGUUGUCCAUUUCUUUCUUCUACUUACCUAUCUUAUACUGGAGCUUAGGUCUUCUACUUGUUCGUUGGAUUCCCUAUAUUGACUGGGGAUGCCCUACAUCAUACCAAUACGACUAUUAGGCUUCCACUAUCCUAGAUCAGACCCUACCCAUAGAUUCUUCUUUGUUCGGAAGCAAGCCGGUCCGAUUCUUAUUCCUCUUCCAUUGUUUGACUAUUUGACUUACUUGUUUGAUUCCGACUUGCCCAAAAGUGCUAGGUUGUCGAGAGGGAGGUGGUGACUUCUCCUAUUACUUAAUGCACUAGACCACACCGAUUCUAUAGGCUAUUGACUCCAACUUUACAUACAGUUUGAGUUAGCUUGGAAAACAGCGUGGGCAGAUCAGUUUGAGAGUUCGGAUUGGAAUACUCAUGAUAGAAACAUAGGAUCCGGACAGGAGUUAAAGAAUCACAGAUAGGCGUUUGAGAUCAGUGGUUAAGAAAGAAUGUAGCUGCUACGCGUAUGAGUGAAAGACAGGAUAGGCAUACUUAGAGUUAGGAGGGUGAGGCUGAUAGCUUGGCGGGGGCAGGUCCGUUUUCGAGCUAGUGGGGGAUAAGGACAAGCGCAUAGGCAUUUCCGUCAGUAGGGUCUGUUUGAAGCUGGAUUCAAUGCAGUAGCUCUGGUCUUAAAAGCAGUAGUUCUAUUCUAUUAGUGGCGAUAGCCUUUCUUUUAUGAUAGCCAGUAAGGACCCCCGAGAGUAUUCUCCAUAGUAGCUUCAUUCUAUUAUUGCUACUGAUUAAUCCGGAUCUGUAGUAUUAGUCUGCUUCUCGCCUUAUAUCCUUAUUUGUAGUGAUAUCAGAGUGAAAGAAGCAAGUAAAGGGCUUUAAGGCAGUGGCGAUAGGCUCGUUCUUGUGUUGACAUCCUAUAAUAAUGGAGGCUCCUAGGUUGUAGUCAAAGAAUGAAAGUGAUUAGUAGUAUUGAAGUAAGUUAUUGAAGUCAGCAGCGGUAGGUUGAAAAGAGAGAUAGAUCAAGUUUCAAGUAAGGAAGAGCUGGCUAAGAUACAGUUUGGAAGCAAGGUAGGUCAGAGGCACAUGGAUAGGAGUAAAAGCCUGGGUUCUUUCUGCAUUAAAGUAUAAUCGGUAGCACAAUAGUGGAUUUCCUAAUAGUAAGUUCAAGUAUCAUUGUUAUGAGUUGGAUUUCAGUGAUCCAGUGUCAAUUCUCAUUGGUAGUGAUUGUAUUCCUGUUAGUAGUAAGUUGAGAUCAAAGUAAAGAUAGUAAGCCUGGUUUCUAUUCUUUUCAGUAGUGAUUUGAAUCUCUUAGUAGGUGGAUACAUUUCGGGUCUUGUUACCAGCAGUUAUAGGUUUCAAGCUAGGAUCAGUGUCCAGUGAUACAGAGUGCAAGCACGGAGCGGAGGGCUAGCUUCUUUGUUUCAUUUUUGGUUAAUCAUAGUUGGAUUCCUUAUUUUGAGUUUAGUUGGCGGGUUGGAUAAAUCAGAAUCACAGUCUUAGGGUCGGGAGCAGGUGAAGCAGAGUUCAGUUAGUAUCCGGACUUUUGCAUUUCAUUCUGUAUUUCUGACUCUUAGCCUUAGAGCUAUUAGUUUGAGUUUCCCUAGCCGUGGGUAUCCUUCCAAAUAGAAUAUGAGGAGUCGACAGUGAAGUCUCUACUACUAUACUAUAGGUUGGUUCAAGUAUAACUAAUUACAGGACGAGAGACAGGAGCGUAGGGGCUCAUAGUGAGUAAAGCAAGUCUGAUGUGUUAGUUAGUCAUUCCUAUAAGCACUUGUUUGAGUCUCUUACUGACUUGUUUGGGUUCCCUUCGAUCUCACUGACGCCGAAGACAUCACGUAGUAAUAACAAGCACAAAACGAAUUGUAUGAUAGGCGGUAGGGGACUUGGUCGCAGUGGUUUCAUUCCAAUAUAGUAUGGGACUGAUCUAACCUAAUGGGGUAGUUCUAGUGCUUGAGAGCAAGGAUAGUUAGAGUUUCAGCAGGAAAGGGCAGCUUUAAACGGCUCGACAGAAGGAGAGGAAGGGCAGUCUCAUAGGUUCAAUAAAGAAAGAAAGUACACAAUGUAAGGCUAAGACAUAGGAAAGUCAGAAUAGGGUUUCGGAGUUUCUUUCCCACUUAUAGUAGUUAGAGAUUCUAUUAAGUAGUGUGGUUUCGGUCUGAUAGUAUAAGAUUCGAACUUAGAAGUCAGAUGUGAACCCGCGCAGGGAUGAUGGGCUAACAGUAAGGGCAGUGAGACUUAUAGUUGGGAUAUAGAAUACAAGUGGAGUCGUGAGAGUUGAAGCAAGGGUUAGAUCCGAGGUAGCUAUAUAGCCUUAAAAGCACUGGUUGAAGUCCUGUGUAGUGGGCGCUGUUACCUACUUUGAGUUAAGGUAUUGGUUUCCCCGGUUCGAUUCUAUCAAGCAGUGUUUUCAGUCUAUUAUGGGUGGGCUGGUCUCUCCAUAAGUUUAGUCAGAAUGGCAGUUCUUAAAGGCAUACUAUGCUACAACAUAGGAAUUUAGGUCAGUAACUACAGAACCAAAGGAAGGAUAGUCAGAAUCAUAUUAAGUGGAGCAAAGACCCGGAUCGGAUCAGUGGUUAACGACUGAAUGAAAACCCGAGAGAGUUCAGAGACUUUAAGCGAAGAAGGGAAGAGCCGAUAUAAGAAAUGGAGGUAUGGGUCUGUGAGGAGUAGAGACAGCAAAGCAAGGGUCGAUUACAUUGAGUGGCCCGUAGCGGCAGUAGAUAAGUAAUAAGAUAAGUAAGGACAUUGGCGGAGAGUGCCCCGUUAGUGAAGUUGUAAUUCCAAGUUUCCAGUUAAGGUAUUGCUAGCAGCGACUCAAUUCUUUGACUUACUUGCUCGAUUCUAACUUGGCCUAUAUGCCUUUUCUUCUAGAUGUGCUAGCGUACUUAGUUCAACUCUUUCAGUUGGUCUUAAUGGUCUCAAGCACAUGGGUAGUGCUAAAGAAUGAAAUUCGAAAUAAGGAACUCUACUAAUACUAUCAGACCUUCGCUCUAAACUCAGGCUUGCUCCACUGUUUCCUAGUCUGUCUCUACUUACGGAUCCUAGGAAUCCCCAACUACCUAUACUUAGCUUUAAGUAUGACUUUCCUGACUAUUAGGCUGACUCUCCUGUCUCUAUUUCUUAUUAAUAGCGGUUUUGCUCUUGUACUUGACUUAUUGGUCUGUUGUACAGGGGUCACUAUACUUUAUCUGAUAGCUGCCUAACAGGCUUACUAACCUAUCUUUCAUUCUUUUCCUACUGAUACAGAUCUUUACUGCCAAACGAACAUAACUUCUUUUUCUUUUGUAGCUUGAUUGUUAGGCUCACUUUACUUCCCCUAUUAGUAUGCAAUGCGCCCCUCCCUUACCUUACUUCAGUCUACGGUUUGCUUUAUCUCAUUCUCCAACUUACUGACUAUUGGGCUUAACUAUACUACCCAAUGGAAUGGAACUGGUGCUUAUGAGAAUGAAACCAAACCAACAAAAGAAAGAGUUUCACUAUAGAGUCAGGAUACCAUCGGAUAGGAAUAGAAAGAAGGCUACCAUACAAAUACUAAUAUACAAAUAUCGGAAUGAAAACACUGCCAGCAAGAAGUCAACUGCUGUUCCCUAGCUCUCAAGUAGGAAAGUAAUAAUCCAAAAGCCAUUCUUUAUCUCCUCGAUUUGGGGCUUACUCUCUUUGUUUAUAAACCUCACUUUCCUGGCUAUUGGCCUGUUACUUGCUCUUUUCAUUCUCAAAUGUCAGUAUUCAAUUACAAUAUGUUAAUUUAUAUGAUAUUUGGGAGUAGUUCAAGGCCUUGGUGGUAUGAUCUAAGGCAUCUACUAAUAAGAAUGGACCUGCUACUCGGAAAUCGACCGGGGCAUAUGAAGCCCGCCCUGCUUAUUACUUAUCCUAGUAGAGGCACCUCAACCCUUUUUGAUCUUACAAAUAAGGAAUCCCGCUAAUUGCUAUUAGCCUGGCAUCCCUUCUGUAUUACCGGACCCAGCUUCACUCUGACCUUCUUUGCCUUUAGUCCCACUGUACUCUCCUUUAGCCUUAGUUUCCCGGCUAAUUGCUUUGAUUUCUAUCUUUGAUUAUUAUAUCAUAUUAUGAAAUGCACUAUUCUGUUAACUUACGUAAGAUUGAUUCGUAUGCUGCUCGGUUCAGUGCUAUUCUCCCUUCACCAAUAAGGAGAGAUUUGUGUAAAUGUUACUAAAGCAUAUAGCCUCUCGAACAGAGGAAUAAGAAUAAGAAUCUUAGGGUGAACUAAAGAAUAAUAGACAGGAUCCGCAUACUCCAAUUCAUUUACUUAGUACCUUCCUUGCGGGCAACUCUCACUUUUUCGGGUGCCAAUCAAUAGGGGUGUUUCGACGUAUCCGGAUUGGAUAUUCUAAUGCCUAUCCACCAAGUAACUACGAAUCAAAGUAGGGCAGGGCAGUCUCAUAGUUAGUGAAGUAAGGCUCCGGAUCAGUAGUAAGGUAAUUCAAGUAUGGAUUAGCAGACUUAUCGACAGGGCAGUCAGAGUGAUACCGAAGUGCAGACUAACAAUAAGACAUAGGAUCCGUACACCGAGUUCAAUCUAUUAGGAUAGUCGUCAAUUCUUAGUUGCUUUUUGAAUUCUCAUAAGUCGUAGUUGGUUCUCUCUUUUUUGCUUUACUUACGUUAGUGGCUUGAUCAACUAGUAUGGUUUUUCAGUCUCCUAAACAGGGCAGUCAAAGUCUGAUAGCCCCGAGUUAUGUUCUAGUAAUUAGCACAUCCCCUAGUUAUCUUAUAGUAAUGAGCACGUCUAUAAUCAAGAGCUAAAGCAGUCAUUCAUCCUUCGGAGCAGUUCGUUGCUCGGUCGAUUUGCCAUAUAAGUUCUUCUUAUUACCAAGUGCUUUCUAUACAAUACUGUCCAAAUAAUAACAUCCACGCCCAUACGAGUAGAUCUCGCCCAGUAGGAAGGAGUUAGAGAGUUCCGAGUUCGUUGAUUCAAAGCGGCAUACCCGACUAAGGAAAGUCAACCUUUUAGCAGUAUGCGUAUUGAUCAAUUCAGAGAAGAAAGAUGGCAAAAGAAGUGUGCAGGCGAAGGCUAAAGGAAGCUACCCUAUAUAUCAAACCUUUAUAUGCAUAUGCCAGUGAACUGGAAGAGAUAGUAGAGAAAGCCCUUCCAAACCAAUAGAUCGAAAGUACAGAUCUGGAUUUCCUCCCGCCUCUGUUUUACUUGAGCACAACGGAACUGGCCGUUGAAUAGCUUGCUCCUCUUGCACAGGAUCCUUCAAAGAGCAAGAUUGAGCCCAAAGGUAAAAAGAAAGCUUCUACAGAAGUUAAGGCUUUCACUUUGACCGAGCGCAUUAGAUUAGUAUUAGCAAUAGGGUUUCUUCAGCCUUUACCGAGCACAUCGUAGAAUGAAGUAAACAAACAGAGCAUCGCAGGCAGUUUGAUAUCCGAGGCGCUUAGCAGUUCUAUAAAGAAAGGUGCGUUGAGCCUCCAUAUCAGGCUUAGCACUAUACCUUUGAUUCUUAUGUUCCUCUUUCACACCUCAACCACCACCUAAGAGCCUGUGUUCCAUUAUUAGUAUUGCAAUCUUCACUAUUGGACUGCCCUUACUGUCUCUUAAACUGAAGUGAGUAGUUCCUUGGCAAGUCAGAAUGCUAAAUGGUAUCUCCGAGACUGAACUACUUACACAAUAAGGAAAAAGAAUUCUCUUUAGGAUAGAACACCAGCCUUAUUGCCUCAUCCCUUGCUCCAACUCUCACUAGCCCCACUUUGAUCUUUAGCUACUGGCUUUGGUUUUGACUUGUUAUUUGAUUAUUCAAUAAGUUAUUAUUCAAUGAACUAUUCAGUUACACCUAUAUUAUUACGAGAAAACAUAUUCUAAUAUCUGGGCUGGGUGAAAAGAAUAAUGAAACUAAGUAAACAGAAGAACCCAAAUAACAAACAGACAGGAAUGCUAGUAUAUAUUUUCAGGUGGGAACUACCUACCGCACAACUUGUUGUUUGGUGGAUCCGAAUCAGCAGUCACAGAAUUGAAGUUAGUAGCACGGGAACGAAAGCAAGGGACACAUAGGUUGAUAGCAAGGGGAUAGAGAUCCGGACCUGAGACAGUAAAGGAAGGCCAAAAGCAAGUAAAGACUGGUUUGGUUCCCCAAUAGUAGAAGGCUUAGUUUGUGGGAGUUCAGUCAAGAAGUAGUCGCCCGGGUUCGUCUCCUUUAUUCCCUUUGAUGCAGCCCGGGUUGGUUGGUUCUGAAAGAUGGGACUUCAGAAUAAUUACAACUAACCCAAUAUUCUAGUUGUUCUUUACGGCGAUAAGUAUUAGUUUACAUAGGAUAGGUAUCCCUCAUUCAGUUCAUAGUUGCCAUCAAGAGUUCAAUCAAUAGGCUUUCACUUUAGUUGUAUUCUUUGUCGAGAGUGAAGAGGUUCGUAUCGGAGUAGAAGAAUGGAAUGGAAAAGUCGUUCUUGUGAGCCUACCUUUAAGGAUUGCUGUUUCAUCCUUGUUGGAAUAUGAUCUAAACUCCCCACGUAGCUCUGUAAGCCUCUACGUAGUCUAUCUACAUGCUACCUUAAGGUCAAGUAGUCCCUAUCAGUCAGUUAUCUCUAAGAAGGAUGAAUAUUCCUUAUUGUCAAAUUGUACACUUAGAAGUGCUCGCUCUCAUAUCGGAUUAUCACUCUCUCUGGUAAGGGCCUUUUCUCUGACUUUGUCUUAUCUAUCCUCUCUGAGUCGUUUUCAAUCUUGUUUCAGCGGGUGAUAAGUCUGGGCUAAAUCAACCUAUCUCCUCAAGCAUGGAACUCAAGUCAUCGCGUAUGGAAAGGCAGGGUUAGCUUCUUCAAAAGGGUCUUGUCUUGGUGUCCCAGUUCAUUCGGAUUCUCUGAGUGGAGCAUAAAUGAGCCUAGCUUUACUGACCUCGCACCGAACUCUAAUAGCGUCUUGAGAUUAGCCCAAUGCCCACAAUAAAUGCGCUCUGGCAAACCACCUUCUGGUAAUGACUCGAUCUCUUUGUCUGUCGGAGCCCUUUCUUUCUCCCUAACGAAAAACACUUGAUUAGGCCUCUCCUCUGGUCUUCUUUCAUCUUAUAUUAUCUCUUUCUAACGUUGGUCAACAUUUGAUGAACUCGAUAGUGAGAUAUUACCAGAACUUUAUAGAAACACACUAUAUCGAGCUCCAUACAGAAGAUAGUAGACUGCUAUCGGCGGCUAUACUUCGAGCCCCCAUGGUAAUGAGUCACAGGAAGAUGGUAAUGAGUCACAGGAAGCUAGUUCUAUCACUUCUGCCCAAGUUCACUUCAGGCCUAUAUCAGAUAGAAAACACUUUUCAUUGUUUGACAAACCUAAUGGUUUAGAUGAAUGCAACGAGUAUAAGGGCGGCUUUCUGCUCUCCCCCGAAUUGCAAACCAGAACGCUUCGAAGGGCAGUGGUCCAAGGCCUCUCAUAUCCAUCAAUCAAAUAAUGUAGCUCCUUUACUUAUUGCCUGGCGGGUAACUACUAAUCUGGAUUUGAUAUAGUACGCCAGCUCAUAUACUAUCUGGCGAGAACUGGUGCGCUGGGCGAUCUCACUCUCUUCGCUUCGGGAUACUUUCUUUCAAUGGAGCCCGACUACUUCCUAAUCUUGUUAACCUCCGAAUUGAUUGAACAAUCUCCAAUACAUGUAGGUCCAGGGAAGUCUAAUCAAAGGGGGUCUCUUUAGCCGUCAACCGCUCCGUGGGUGUCUAAGCAAAGAUCUUCUCACUUUAUUGCUAUUCCAUUUCCAAUGGACCAUUCUAUUGUGGAUCCACCAUGAUCUUGGACUUCCCUAAGAAAGGCAACUGCAACUUAAGGUCGACAUCUCCAUAUCUCGUUCACUUGUGAGCUCGGUUCGGAAUAGUAUACUUCCCGGGCUGUCAAUGAAAAUAACCCAUUUCAAGAACUUAAGGUGCGCUCCGCCCUGAGAUAGCGCCAACCUCAAGUCAAGCGCUGGCUUUAGCUCCAAUCCUUGAAUGUAGAAAGCAAUGCUUCCAUCUGAUCCACGUUUCCGGGGAUAGCUCUACUGAUUCAAGAGAAGAAAGACAUAAUAUAGGCAGCUUUUGAUUAUCAUGAAUAUUCAGCGGAAGUGGAAUGUUAUAUAUUUCAGCAAUGGCAAUUCUCAUUGGAUCACUUAUUCCUUAUCUUAUUUUUGGAUUACCUUAUUGGAUCACUUAUUCCUUAUUCUUAGAUUACCUUAUUGGAUUACUUAUUCCUUAUUAUUGGAUUACUUCUUCCUUAGUUGUGGGAUCUCUCACGCUCUUCAUUUGACUUGGCCAUCUAGUCGAUACCAGCAAAAAGAUCUCUAAGAUCCUAGUCUUAUGCGCUCGAAAAGGAAAGGAGGCCUAUUUUCAUGUCCAAAGGUGUGUGUGAAGAAAGAAACCUUCUCCACCCACUACGGAAAACAUCGAUUUCCUGUAAAGAUCUUAUCAAUGGAACCUGUACUUCUAGCAUCUUUAUUCACGGGGCUAAGUUCGAGUUACCAACCCUAUUACUAAAGAGUUAGACCUACUUCCUUGUUGGACACCAGACGCGUGAGCCCUGCUCUUUGAAAGGGAGUAACCCGAUGCUUUAUUAUUCCAUUUCUACUUACCUCGUCUCGUCUUCUCUUCUUCCCUCAAACAUCUGCAGAUCUGAGUUGAGUGCUUCUCUGUCGAAAGAACAGAUUCAUUGUUGGAAGCUAAUUCUUCUUCUCGCCGCCUUGUCUGUACACCAAUGCCAAUGGCUAAUUCUGCUUUUUCAUCCUGGAGCGAGUUAGCCGUCGCUUUUUCUUCUUUUACUUUACCGAGCCGAGCCAACCACUUUGCUCUCGUAUGCCGAGCCAACCACUUUGCUCUUGUAUAAAGAAUUCCUUCAUAGAACUGAGCUACAUACUCCCUAAGACUUAUGGAAAGCACAGACAUCCUUCCCUAAUACUUAGUGAAAGCCCAGAGAAUAACUCAUUUCAUAUUCAUUUCAAUAUGGAUUGUAAACAAAUGCUUUUCUACCAGAAACAGAUCCGAGCUCAUCUCACUAAGGAACAAACAGAAAAGAGUAAACGCGCCAUAGCAUAGACUCAAAUCCAGAGCCAUCAGACACAAACGAACAGAGCAGAAAAGCCACUAUAAAACAAAACAGCAGCCCAGAAGCCGAACUCACUGAUAGAGUAAACGAGGAAACAGCAGCAACACAAUCACUUAUUUCUACUGCAAUACCGGAUAUCGAGGGAGAGAUCAGCGCUACCACGCUUUUAGCUCCUGCCGCUCUGAACUCGCUACCGUGCCUAACGAGGCUUGGUCAUUAGCAGUGCCUUGGCGACCUUGUCUAGUAUACGCUUGGCCAUUUCUGUAUUCUUUGUUCGCUUGCGCGGCAGGGCCGCUCUUCAUGCACCUCUUUUCACUCUGUCUCCCCUUUCUUUAAGACUCGCUCUAAGACUAGGAUCCAACUUUCACUGACCUGGCUAGCGAAUAGAAUCAACAAUCUAAUAAGUGCUGACUUGACUGAUCUUGAUGUAGUCUUUUGAAAGCCUUAGCCUUGCUAGCACGCCCCAACACAGACCGAGAACUGUCUAGCCGGAGUUGUGUAAUUGAGAUGAUUCUUUGAUGUGUUUGUGUUUACGAACGAAUAGUCCACAUCCGAUGAUCCACAUAUUCUUUUUCUGUCCUUAAAGAUUGGCGUUGGGUGGUUCAUUCCCGACGUCACAUCCCUUCUAGCCGUUAUUCGUGAUUGAUAUGGUGCCUGUAAAUCUCUGUCUGUCCUAUUAAAGCAAGAAAAAAGAGUCGAAUGGGAAGUCAAGUCAGAAGGGCGCACUACCCAGUACUACCUUCUUGAGCUACACACUCCUUUAAGGAAGUUAUUGAAGGAAGGUAAAAGUACUUGCGCGGAAAAGAAGUAAAGCAGGCAGCCCAUCUCAAUGGAGUAGAAGCGGGCCUUCGCUGGACCAAUCCACUUUUCUCUCUAUCGUCUCGAGUUAGAGCUAGUCUAGUAAUCCAAAGAGAAGCGUAUUCCCCAGAAGUGGAUAUGAGUAACCUAGAAGUUGGCAAUCCAUUGAAGAUUGUCAGGGAAGUUCCGGCGAGCAAUAAUUCCUGUCUAGAAGCUGGUGCCAUACGAGUAAUAAACCAGCUGUAACCGUUUUGGGUUUCCCCUUUAUUUCCCAUAAGUCUGCCAUACGAGUAUACCAGAGGGGGGAGGUAUUGAGUUCUGAUGCUUCCUAAACCCUAAGCUAGGCGAAUCAAUAACAAAGCAAGACGACUUUCCCUCAGUACGGGCCAUAACCGAAGUCAGAAGGCUUUCAAUCCAAUAUGGUACGCGGUGCUUAUCAAAUCAAAAACCAUCCCUUCCAAGUGAGUUAGAAAGGUAAGAGUCUUUUACCUACCUAGUAUCACUUCUAACUUUCUAAUAACUAAUAAGAAAAAGAAGAUAAUAAUAAUAAGAAUUUUCUAAGAAGCGAGAGCGCACCUCGAGAAACUAGUCUCCGAUAAUAGAUUAAGCAGUACUAAAGGUAAUGGUUGUAAGCUGAUGGAUGGCCGAGUAAAGAACCCAGAUAUUAUAAGGGAGACCUUUACUUUGGUUCAAGGUAGCUAAAUUCAUGUUUCAUGAGGACCAGAAAGAAGAAGGUAAGGGAUAUUGGAAAAAGAAGUAAUGGAUUCCGCAAUACAAAGAAGUUGGAAGCUGUUUCAAAAUACGGCAGAUCUGGUGUGACAAGGGCGUGCUCUUCUAUUGAAGGAAGACCAGAAACGAAACAGCUCUCUUUGCUUACUAUGGAUCUCUUACGUGUAACAUUCCUUGCUUUGACUUUUACGAGCCAAUUGGUUGUUUACUGGUUCCGGUGCUUGGUUGUAAGAGUGGUGAGCUAAGGAUUGGUUGUAAGAGUGGUGAACUAAGGGUGAGCUAAGGAUUGGUUGUCAGAGUGGUGAGCUAGCUAGAUAGUUACCACAAAUAGCCCCUUUGAUGAAUUAGUCCUGGGUUUCGGUGACUUUCGAGUUGAGGCAAUCAGGUCUUUGCUAUUCGGCAAGGAACGGGCCAAGGGCCAAGCAACGAGGCAAGUCAUUCCGGUCCUCUACUAUUGGCUCAUAGCAAAUGGGGAAUAUCUCCGCGGAUCUUCUCUGGCUACAACUACUUAUUGAACUACUCGACUACGGGUUGGGUAUUCCACUCGCCAACUACAGGCUAGGCUCUGUCACAAUAAUUCCAUUCAUAAGAAUUCCACUAGCAACUAUCAACUCAACUACUUGCUUUAAGAAAAGAGUCUUGUAAGCAAUUCCACUCUAACUCUAACAGUAUCUUUUCACUCAGGCUCAUCCACCGGGGAGUAAACUAAUACUUCUUGAAACAAGCUGCUGGCAACUCUGACCAUAAAACCGAAUCUGGUAAAGAAAGGAAGCAUCAAUCCUAACCUGUUCCUUUGUUUGAUACCUGAAUUCUUACUUGCUGAAUGAGGCUCUCCAAUCUAUUCAUUCUGACUUUCCUACUUGAUAUCGUAGAAUUUAUAUCUUUUGUACUAUAUCUUAUGAUAGGAUCUGGCCAAGUCGACAACUAGUUGAAUUCACCAAGCAACAGUAGGAGUGAGUUCCAAAGUUCACUAUACUAGUCUCAGAAAGCGGGUAUCUCGGGCUAAAGUCUGCUAUUAAGGUAUAGGUCGACAAGGUGCUUCAAGCCUAUGUCUUUACUGAGUGUAAGAAAGGUGCUUCAAGCCUAUGUCUUUGAAUUGAACUCACUGGUUACCUCGCCUCUGGUAUUGAAGUGCAGAAUUGUAAUUCAGAAUUGUAAUUAUUAUUGAUGAGCUCGAGCACCCAUAAUGGAGGAAUGUCAUAACACACAUAAUGAAGGAAUAUCAAUACACAGCUUAUGCUCCCUAUAAGAGAUAUAAGUAACCAAACAACGCAUUGCUUUAAUCACUCAUAUCGGCACCCACCCGCAACUCUAGUCAGAAUUAGCACAACGGGCCAAGUAACAAACAACUAAGCUCAUAGCAAAUAGAGACACAGGUAUAAGAAUUAGGCUCCGGGUACAGUCUAGCGCUGGCUCAUUGCUUUUGUCCAAAACUCCCUGCCGCGCCGUAACAUAACUCCUGCCGCUAGUGUCCAUCAUCCGCUCUUUCCACUCUAACGUUACUAGAGGCCGGGGCAGAGUCCUGGGAUAGGAUCCUCAAAGUAGUGGUCCAAAGAGUAUCUACUGAAGUCGACCUAGACCUCGCAAACAGGAAUUGACUCUUUUUCUUACCCUGAUUACCUGCUUCCAUAUGAUCUCGGCUCGGGUAAUCUGAAAUUCUAUUCGGAUAAUGCGCAGAGCCCACUCAAACAUCAAUUUAUUAGCUGUAUGCUCUGUAACCUAGGACUCGGAAUUAAUUGAUUAUCGAACACCAGCUAUAGAACUAAGUAAAGAUCUAACUCCUAAUUCUGUUGAAACUACUGAAGAAGCGGACUUACUUUCGCCAACAGCUGUCAUUGAACUUGCUUGCUCUGCCCGCGUACCUUGACUUUAUUCUUACCUGAGCCCUAACUCGAUACCCGGACUUUCUACUUCACCUUGAAACCACUCACUACUAUCCGAGUCAAGAACUGAUAUCUAUGAUUCCACUCUUACUGAAAGACACUUUACUUCAGUACUUAUGGCUUCCAAGUAAGUCGAACAAAGGAAUGGAAUUGAUCACUUAAGUCCAAGUCGGGUUGGUUGACUUAACCCUGUUCCAAUCGUUCCAGAGAGGUUCAAAAAGCAGCAAUGAAUGAUGAGUUGACUGAAGCGUUAAGUAUUACCCAAUCAUUCCAUUACAGAGAGGUGGCAUUCCAACUUCAAUUCCAAUUCAAAAGGUGCACUUUAAGAACGAGAACGUCUUGUAGCUUCCUUUACGUACCCUGACUUUGAAUCGAAAACUCUACUUAUAUUGGAAUAUACUACCAGAUUUUCAUCUACUGCUCUCUCUGCUCUAUCAGCUUCCUUUCCUCGCACCGUCCCGGCAACUACAACAAACCCUUUCAGUAGUGGUCAAAAAUGUACUGUGGAAUUGGAAUAAUACUAAAUACAUACCCUUACAGUAUAAUGAAGAGCAUGCUCAUAUUCAAUUGCAUCUUGAACAACCAAUCCAUGAAGAAAGCAAAGGAAACAAUGAAGCCCCUGCGCAAACAAGAACACUUGAAAGCUCACUUGAACUUGGAGAUCGAGGCUUAUUAACCACCGAGAAAGGACAACUCAUGAAAAUAGUCCUUUGCCCUACCCCCCUUGUAUAGAAUUUAGUAAAUAUAACUUCACUUGCAUUGCGUUCAAAAAACCUGCCUUUAAUAACCCUAGUCCUUUCCAUUUGUUCUUUGCCAUCAUUACCCUAAAAUAUAGGUUAGUUGGCAAAAAUUCCAUUGUAACUGGGACGCUCUCUCUGGGCCUUGUAGAUUUGUUUAAUGUAGCGGCGUGGGGGGGCCUUUCAAUUCUCUCUAAGCCGAGGGAAGACCCUUUCCCAUCCAUGUAGAUGCUUUCGACCCCUUCUCACGUCUUUGUUGGCGAGUGAGUCAAGAAGCCCAACUUUACUUAAUAAUGCUGAAGCGCGGUCUACUUCAUACGAGUCUCUUUGCUUUCUUUGGAUUGGGUGCUAAAUCCGUUCAUUCCGUUUCUGUUCUCGUUGGCUUACGUGAAGAAUAUCUACGAUAGAAACAAGCUUAGGCAGCACAUACAUGACUAAGAGCUAACGACGGAGUUAUCAGAGUUCCAACAAGCUUAGGGUAGGAGAGUUCUUCCUGUCUUUAGCGCGUAAGGGAAAAGGGAGUUUUCAAUGAAACAAAACCAGGCGAUGCUUGUCAAGAGAUUCCAUUCUUUCUUCAGACAGUUGAGAGUCAAGAAAAGGGCGACGAGAGAGAUAGGUUUAUGUUGACAGUGGUAUUGUCGGUUCAGAAAUCAAGUAUAUAGUGAGGGGAAUUCAGAAAUCAAGUAUAUAGUGAGGGGAAGAAUAAAGAGAAAGUACUGGUUAAGCGAGGGCAGCUUUAUAGAUGCCUUGAGUUUAGUCUCUUUGUGUUCUUGUUCCUGAUCUAAGCUGUAUAGCUAACAAAGCGUACUCAUAAAGUCAAGGGCCUGGCCGACCCGGUUCAAUAAACUCCUUUAAGCGCUUCCUUUCAAGAAGGCAGGUACACGCCAAACUAAUGUUAACGCUAAGGAAUAUUGCUUGGGUGAACUCCCGCUUGAAAAGAAUAUAACUCUCCUCCAUUUGCUUGAAAAGAAUAUAACUCUCCUCGUAUCUAUUAAGUGCGGAACCAUAACAACCAUCUAUUCUAUAAGGUCAGGUGCUGAAGGAACCAUCUAUUCUAUAAGGUCAGGUGCUGAAGGAACUAUCUAUUCUAUAUAAGGUUUUGUAGUUGUAGCUUGCACUUAAUUAACCCUGGGCUGGAAAUGGAACUGAUUGUUCCCGCCUGCCUGCCUCCUUGUCCACGAGAUCCAGAGCUUUAGAUUCCAAGUCAGUAUCUAAAGGUUGCAGUAACAGGGACCUGUCCAAUCUUCAAUAAUUAAUGGAUUCUAACCUUCACCGAGCUUACCCGCUACACCUUAUAGUAUUAUAGAAACAAAGUCAUAUUACCUGCAAACAGAUCUUGCUUCUUAUGAUUCUUAUGAUUCUAUCGUAGACUUCACUUUAACUACACUUCCUGCUCUAACUGCUUCCGCUGCUGAUGAUUCUGUGUUGUUGAUGUAAACCUCCCUUUGGCUUCUAAACAAAUAGUUUCUACUGCGCUCUUGCUUUAAACGCUAUCACUUACUGCCUCCGUCUGGCUAAUGAUUCUUUUUAUUCCCGGUGCUCUAGAGUUAUGAGCAAGUCUGUAUAGUUGACUUUACUCGAACAGCUGGUUCUGUUGGUUAUGAUGCUACUCAUACUUUAGAUCCUAUUCUUACUGAAGGAAGACCAAUACUCUGCCAUCUACUAAUGUCUCUGCUCUACUUGACUUGAUAACAGCUUCUAUAUAGGAUUACUAAGGUCAAGCGCCAAGAACGGAUCUCUAAGAUGAAACAAGAACCCCAUCUGCUUGAGAUCCCAAUCUAUCUGUGGCCUAUGAUCCAUAUCUUUAAACAAGAACUGGCACUAUAUACUUUACUUCUGCAGUUGAUCAUUCAAAAGGUUAACUACUAGUUUGGUCUGGACCUGGCAAUACUUAACGCUAAAUAUGUACUAGAUUCGUCGGGAGCUCUACUUGAAGGGUUAAAACAGGACAGGAAUAUAUCUUUGUUAGCGCAAAGGAAGAAAACUGGAAUAUUUCUUGUUCCGAGUCAACUCUUCGAUUCAUUUAUUCACUGGAUGUUAUAUGAUCUAGGAAUUGAAGAGCUACAGUACAUUCUCCCCUUGCGAUAUCCUCUUCUUUUAAAGAAAGAUUCUACUAAAGAUUCAACUCAACCUCGCAAGUACUACCGGGAUGAUCUCUACGCCCUAACUAACCCUGCUUUGCUUCUUUAUAAGAUGAAACUCGUGGUGCCGAUAAGGAUUGAUGCAAUCGGUAACUCUGCUUCAUUCUUCUCUGUAAACUAAUACAUAAGUAGUUAACACCUCUGUAAGUAAGCAUUCGAUUCGGCUUCGGCUGAUGAUCCUUUUUAUGCUCCUGCUUAUGGUUAUCUACCACUUGCAUCUUUCUCUUUUCUCGGAGACUACACUUCUUACUGGAACUAUGUAUUAGUAAGUAUUCGCUAGAUCUAUCCUAGGGUUUCUUAGUUAUUAAAGGAAUGCGCGUAGAGGCGAGGUGGGCAAAGAAAUCCAAUAAGUUUCACAAGGCUAAGCUGCGGUCGACCACUACUCGGUAAAGCCUUUCACUCCUGGCAAGCUACGUAUACAAAGGUGAAAUUCUGUCCCUGCCCCAGUUAAUCUCAUCUAUAGGUCUAUAAGCUUGGUUGCUCCUGACUUUAAGAAUUAACGACCCUGUUUUUUAGUUAUGACCGGCCAGUCACUACGUAAAGAGAUAGAGAUGCUGCUCCUGCUCCGUCAAAGUAAAGAGAUAGAGAUGCUGCUCCUGCUCCACCAGAUUGAGAGGUUGUCAACUAAAGUUUAGUUAGCUGAGAAAGGAGACUGAUAGCAGAUAGGAUCGGGUAGCUUAGAGAGAAGACAGACUCCGUUUAUAUCCUCUUACAUCUUUAACCCUGCAUUAAGAGGCGAGGCAGAAGCAAUUGUAAACUCCUUAUACAACAAAGUAAGGAGCCCUGCCCCAUUCAGUGGAAAAGUGUUGUUUCGGGUGUCAGGAAAGCAGUCCGCCUCUAUCAGUUCGAAGAAAGUCUCUAGUUGUUUGUCCCCUUGGCGGGGGGCGAGUAAACGUUCUUCUAUAAUAAGAGUGGAAAACGGAAGAAUCAAACCAGGGCAAGCGACUACUAAAAAGGCAAAUAAGGUCAAUUGCUGACUUUUGAACUCCAAUACCGGAUUGAGAAGUCCUCUCCUUGCGCUAACAAACUAAGAUACAGAUCAAACUAGGGGCCAAUCAGACAAGCAGCUAAUAAAGAAAGGGGAGAUACCAUUGAAUCUAAUAGCAGAGAGGAGCCGAUACUUCUUUCAACAAGCCCUGCAGCUGGCAACUAUUAAAAGAAAUGAGGCUCAGUUGCUUGGCCCGGAGUUCUAAUUGAGCCCUGCUGUCUCUGCUUCACCUAUUCCCGCUGGCAAUUAUAGUAGAAGACCAUUAGUGGGGAUAUCCAGAGUAGAAGACCACUUCAUUGAAUGAAUACUAUCNNNNNNNNNNNNNNNNNNNNNNNNNNNNNNNNNNNNNNNNNNNNNNNNNNNNNNNNNNNNNNNNNNNNNNNNNNNNNNNNNNNNNGAGCUGGAGACUUCACUGCUGGAGCACCCGGCUUCUUCUCUUGAAACUUUCCACUUAUGAUUCUGUUGUCGAUGUAGACUUUCUUCGCCCAGCAAGAUGUUAGGAAGAAAUGCACUCAGUAGUAACAGUAGGAUAAAAGAGGUAUACCGAAUGAAGUGAAUAGGCUAGAGGCUCGGGUAGGGAGAAGAUAGUCAUAAAUAAGAGAGGUGAGCAAGGGAACCAGUUGCAUCAACCCAAGGAAUGGAUUCUCGAGCACCUGUUAUAGAAUGAAGUAAUCUUACACCUCUUACAGCAGAUGUGGUUAGUGACUUAGUUCCAAGAGCCAGAGAAGAGGAGACCCUAGAUCGACUCCGAUAAGAAUAUAGAAAGAGAAGAGGGAUAGAUCGACUCCAAUAAGAAUAUAGAAAGAGAAGAGGGUCUAGCGCAUAUAGAAUAUCUGAAUUCUUCUGAAGCACUAACGGAGUGAAAAGAGCCAGAGGGAUGGAAGCCAGCUGCUUGCUUGUGUUGAGAUGAGCAAGAGCAGAGGUGUUACCAACCGACAAGAGCAACUCCCUUAAGUAGACAAAAGCAAGAGCCUAUCUUCUACUCUUAAAGCUAGAUCAUAAGCAGUUGACAGAUAAUAAACAGAUUCCUAUGAUUUCCAGUUGAUUGGCGAGUUCAAUCCGAGUUUGUUGACGUUGAAAUGCCCUAGAUCAGACAUAUCCCUACUCAUACCAGCCCUAGGGUUAGCAUACCGUUUUCUUACUUGAUGAUUUGAUUAUGCCUUUCCUGGACCCACAUCUUAGUUUAGAGAAAAGUCCUAUGCCCUAUGCCUUAUGCCGAGUCCUAUUAAUGAUACUAGUAAUUCUUUAUUCUGAGUUCGGAUUCUUACUUAUUUAGUUUGAUUCCCUUGAUUGCGCUUAUGGCUCUUGCUUUCCCUAUAAAGAUGCUUUCCCAAGAAAUAUGCUUUCCUAAUAAAUAGAUUAGUCCAAAUGUCACUCUAACAUAACUGUAGGGGUUUGGAUAGCUAUUAGGAUACUCAAACUAUCAAUGCAGAAUAAAAGCUAGAGUCAAAGAAUUGAUAGCAAGCAAUAGGCAUAGGUAGAAUCAAAACCACUUAGUUGCAGAAGAAUCGAAGUGGAAACAAAGGCGCCUAUAAGGCUCUAACUACUGCUUCUAGGGCUAUACUUUACUUAGAAUCAAAACAGUGCCUACAAGGACUGAACCAAAUAGCAAUAAACUCCUCCGCGCUUUAACUCGCUGACGCCAAGCUCAUCAGCCGAAUACAACAGAGAGAAAAACAAAUACAUAAAUACCGAACUUCUCACUUAUUAAUAAAUAUACAUAUUCUAAUAGGAUAAUAAGAAGAAAGAUAAGAAUAAGGAAUGAAAAGAAUAAGCAAAAGAAAGGGACGAUAUGCUAUAGCGCGCAUAGAGAGAUAGAACCAAUCUCAUAAUAAUAAAAGAGUGCAAACAGUGCUUCCAAUACUAGUUCCUAUAACAAGGAAGUCACUGGCCGGGAGAAAAGAAUGGAACGAACCGGUGCUUCUCAGACCGGAGCUACUGCUAACAAGAGAACUGCUAAUACUUUGUAGAAUUAAGCUCAGACCUAUAAGAAUGAUAACACUACCUAUUAGAAUGGAACCGGGGCUUCUCAGACUGAAGUUGGGAGACCCUUUAAUGAAACUUGCAACUAUCAGAAUCGAGCUACUGACAAACAGGCUUACUUUGAUGGUUUUGAUUCCCGUAUCUAGGGGAGAGCUUGAACUCUUCCGCUACUAUAUGCGAGAUACUUUCACUUUACAUCUAGAUCCUUGCUUUGCUGUCUCUAGGCCUGGCACUGCUUACUCGCAUUCUUCCUUCCUACUUUCAUUAUUGAGGUUGCCCAUACCAUUCAUUUCUCUUAUGUUAUUAUCCAAAACUCAAAUCUGUAUUUCACUAUCAGGUUUCCUGUCUUCCAUUCUUGUCGAGGGUAACAAGGUAGACUGCCCCUCGUUAGUGGUAUUCCCUUAGUAGUAUUCCCAUUCUCGUGUUUAAACCUAGAACACUCCCUAAGAAAUAACAAACUCACAAUACUUGCUUAAAGCCCGCCACUACUAACUAUAGGUCUGUUGCUCAUUAGCUUCAAACCACCACUUCCUCGAUCUCGUUCUCAUACUAAUUACCUCAAUACUUUCAUCCUAUAAUAGGGAAGAAAACUCAUAAGUAAGUAUAUCGGUCUACACUACAAAGACCUAUAAGACCAAUAAGAAGGAGGUGAACCACUGCUUCCUAGUAAGCUCUUCCUUUAUCAUAGCCCACCCUACCGGAUCUAAAAUAUCUGUGAACUUUUUAGACUGUCUGUCCUUGAUUGAAACCUAUAACUACUUACUUCGAACCUCGCCCCUAGGCUUGACUUUCCUUUUAUUGGAUUAGAGGCUCACUUUAUCCGCUUUAAACCUAGCGCUACCGCCUACUAGUCUACCUCUCCUUCCUCUUAUUCUUAUUUCAAUGGGGGAUUCUCUCUAUUGAUGAGAUAUAGCGUAUACGGGAGAGAAUCAAACAAGUAAGGCAAUUACGGGAAUGAAAUCACUGCUAACAAGAUAGGAGCAAGCAAUAGGGAAUUACACCGCUGACUAAAAGACUGCUUUUCCUACCACUAAGGCUGCCAGCUAUUACUAUGAUAAAAGCCCUACAGCUAAUAAGGGGCGAGCACGGAAUACAGACUGACUCAUAGAAUACCGAGUUAAUCUCAAUACUACCGAUAAAACUUACUCAACUAACUGGGAAAUAAACUACCUACCUUGAAGCUAUACUGAUUCAUUGACUUCUGUUUCGACUAAAACUCCCUUUUCUUAGUAUAUGCUUGGCGAAGUCGUUUAUCAUCUUUGUUUCUCAAUUCCUUAAGUUUGAAGUCAACUCGAUUCUUUAGUUCACUACCGGUAUUCAACUCUAUCACAAGGAGCUAGAGCACCAACCCGAUACUUUAUAUCUUUAGGUUGAUACCUUCCCUUCCUUAGUAGCGGCGGUGAACUUGUCUGCUUGCCUGCUCUAAUUACUAGAAUCAAACUACAGGAAUUACAAUAAUCAAACAAAUAGCAAAUAUCAUAUGAAAACACACAUAUCAGUAUAAUCAAUAUCAAUAAACAGAAUAAGAAAUAUACGUCAAAAGAAUCCCCCUUGGUACGAUUGAAAAGAAUAGCGCAAGUCAUACUCCAACUAACAAAUAUGGCCCGUACCCAACAAGCAAUCAGGCUUUAUCCACCUUGGAAAGCGACCUUUGAACUCAAUCUGGAUUCUGCUUGUCGGACUUGUUCUGUGUCUUUACAUCAUUUUCUACUCAACGAGCAUUAACCAUAAGUGGCAAACGAGAAUGGACUGAUUGAGUAGUGGUCGACCUCUGGAACAACAUUCUCACACGUCACUGAUUGUUCCGCUCUAGCACCAAGCAACGGAGCAAGAAAUAAGAGGUAAAUAAGCCAGGGUAUAAAGUCAAAGUGGCCUUAGCCAGCUCCAGACUCGUUUGUGAGUUCCAGACAAGCCGUUACGCAUUCAUUAGUUUACCUUACAGGAUUUUAGCGUUGAGUAAGCUUUGUUUACUUACUUAUUGAAUGAAAGUCAGCGGGUUAGAAAGGACACUAGAAAUCUGGGUAUAAAGCUGGUUCCGGAAAUCUCUCUAGGUAGAAAGCCCGGAGUAGUGGUAGGUUCAGGAAAGAAUAAGGGCCAAGCAUACAACUCACUACUUAGGAAUGGGAUUUUCAGACAAUAACCCAUGUGUUCAGCAAGUAGUCAAAGGUAAGGUAUAGUUCGGUGCUCUAGUUUCAUCCCGCCGAGCAACCACAUAUUAGCUAAGAAUGGAGUGGAAGGGUUUCCGUUUUCCAGUUUUCAUUUCUGAAUGGAGUUUCCGGUAUGUUAAAUAAGAAUACCAGAAUAGAGCUUUCAACCGACAAAGUCUGAAUUUCAACCUCAACAUGAAAGCUAGCCAGAGUCGAGAUAGGUUCGGGAAGCAAUUCCAGUUAUUACCGAGUCUUGCUUUCGGCGUCAGUAGAAAUAAUAGAAUAGCAGCUCUGCAGGGCGCUGAAGACAUAAGGCCACUACUAGGAAAGCAUACAAAGGGAAAGCAAGCCAAUAAAGCUUAGACAAUACAAGCGCUGCCACUGAAACGUAACUCUCUGAAUCGAUUGCUGCUAAUGGACUUUAUACAACACCACCUAGGUUAGCUUACUCUUUCAUUGUUUCUUCUCGAGUAGCAAAGACAUCUUACUUGAGAACAGAACAAGCUAGGGCUUCUUGACUUCAUAACUUCAUACGUAAAGCAAACAUGCCACAAACUCCACCUUUUCGCUUUGAGCGUGAAGGCAGGCCAAUCAGAUAAGACCUUUUGCUAACUCGGGUAAACUCAAAUGAUAGGGAAUCACUUAAACGUAUUCCAAAAUAGAUUCUUCCCGAACUCAAUCCACUGUUGGCGACGAGUAAGCUGCUAUAAGGUAUGGAUAAACAAGGUAAGGGUCAUAUUACAACCUAUAUUACUAUUCUGAUUUCCUUACUCUUACUACUUCGCUUGCAGUUGCCUUUCGCCUUCCUUUCUUCUUAAAGGAGCUGUUUCCUCUCUCGCAGACUAAGCUCGAGUUCCGCUCUGCUCUUGACUUCGCCUUUGCUCUGCUCUAAAACAUAUGAUUGCUGUAUAUACCUAACAAAACUGUGAAACUCCAUUUAUGGGCUCUAAUCAAGUUCUUGCAACAGAGCUAGUGGUAUAGAUACAGGUCUGAUUACUCCUUUAUAUACUAGCUAGGGCAAGAAAGAAAGAACCGAUAGUAAGACUAGUAAAGCAUCCAUUCUGAUUCAAAGUCAUUUCACUAAUAGGCUCAAAGUAUAGAACUUAUAUAAGGAGCUACUUCAAAGCAGCGCAGCUACGCAGUUUUUUCCCUACUCAAACACGCUCUAACCCUAUCGCUUUGUAAACUCCGCUCCCUAUCUUAACUAAGAGAGUCUAUUCGAACCCAAGGAUUCGCAGCAACGACACUUUCCUUUGUUUUAUAGGCGCGAGUCACUUACUUAGCUUUUUGCUAGAUUUGGUUAUUCAUAAAUUCUUUCAAAAAACACAAAGAAGAUCGAACUGCAUGCUUAUGCUUCCUUAUGUAUCUAGUUUUGCUAGGAAGUGAAAACAUACUUAUUUGGCUAAGAAGCGCCAUGAGUCAAAUCAUUAUGCAGAGUAGGGAAGUGUUUCCGCGAGGAAGAAAGCCGGAAUAGUGCGCGGAUCCUUCUUUCUGUCUAUAGUUGGAAGACAAGAGAGCAAGGGAAUCACUAGUUCCAUGGGUCACCCGAAUCCGAGUAUACCUAGCAAACAGCCAACAGAUCCUUCUACUUCGGUAACAGAGGCAAAAUGGUUAUGGAACGCAUAAAGCUUCUUUUUUCUUUUCAUGGCUUUUCUUUAUAACCCACUUUUUGUGCCUCCCGUCAUAAGACAGCCGGCCGAUACGAAAGAUUGACUUAGGGGCCAUAGCCUGUUUGAAUAGAAUCGGAAACUACACCGCUCUAUCGCUACACCCGUCUUUGCCCGCUACACCUGAUCAGUUUACUUACUUAAGGACUCUUACUUAGCUAACGUGCCCCUUUGUCAAACAGGAAACAAACUUCCUAUCUACUUCUGCCGGGUUGGUUGCUAGGUUUCCGAUCUACUUCUGCCGGGUUGGUUGCUAGGUGGCGGAGAUGGCAAUUCUUUGUUCGUGCAUGUGGUCUGACACAGCCCCGUGCCGGGGUAGGAGUCGUUUUCCAUGACUAUGACUCCUAAAUAACAGUCCAUCAUAAGACUAUUCCGGGACUACUUUCAACGAGAUCUAGUGGAAUUUAGGAUAGGGUCAGUAAACUCAUCAUUUCUAUACCCCCAGGGCCAAGCAACGUAGACAAAAUGGAGUAGUUGUGCGGCAGGCGUGAAACUGUGUCCGGGAGCUCACUUACCCUACUUUCUCCUAACUCGUCAAUACUUCCGCGCUGAGUCUUUCUCCAAAGUCCAUUUCUUUGAUUUCACUGAUGCCCUAUAACCAUAGGAAUUCAUUGAAUCUUUCUUGUCUUGUGCCGCUCCGUUUGCUUGUUCACUUGCUGGAAUUGAAACUAAGUAAGCGAUUUACCCCAAGAAGAAGUAAGCUUAUGUGUAACGAACGGCGAGGAAAACAUCAAUCUCAAUUUCAAUUCGACAGAUGUUCUAUAUAUGAGGAAUAGAGGAGCUCCUUGCUUAACUUAAUUGUCAGCUCCGUAAGUGCCUUUCAAGCAGGAAUCUAUCUUGCACCUAGUAAAACAGUCCAAAAUGAAUAUGAUUUUCUCUAAUGUAGUAGGAAUUGACCAGUGGGGCACUUAUUGAGUCUUUCGAGCUUCGAGCUCCCUUGCUUGUUGAAUGAUAUUUCACUUAUUUUAUAUCUCUUGCGCACAUACCCUAUAUGAAUGAGAGGAAUGUAACAGCUCUAAACUACAUCCGUUAGCACUUUCUUUGAUCAACGAGCUUAACAUCAACUGGGUAUUCAUGGCGGCAGGAGUGAGAACUGGGAGUACUGCUCCUGUUCUGGAAACAAGGAUACAGGUUCGGUGCUUGUGUGAAGCUAUGAGGGUAAUGUCCAUUUGAUAGUUCAUUAAGUACGGAGUUGUGCCUAGUAGGGGUUGGGUUCUCUACUCCAUGUGUUCAGCAAGUAGUCAAUUAUGUCUUGUGGUAAAGUCGACAGUUGUAGCUUGGCGUGUUUCAGUUUCCGAAUGAUUUGUCUUUGUUGACCACUCGAAAGAAGAAAUCAAAGGUUUACAAGGCGUAAGAAAGAUUCCCGCGUGAGUUGGGCACUUCAGCGCAAACAAGUGAAAGAGAUCUGUAUUUGUUGCUCUUAUAUUAUAGCCACUAACUUAAUAAUAUGGAGCAGAAAGAAUAAGGAGCUGUGGGAGGAAAGUCUACUUUAUAAUAACUAGGAAGCCGAAGAUGGAGCAAGUAAAGAAGCAGCCUCAGGAGCUGGGAUCGAGAUCAGAAUAAGGAGAAAGAUCUGCAUCAGAGGCAGUACGGUAGGGUUCACUCGCUAAUGAAAAAGAGCAAGCAGUAAGGUCACUUUCUUCUAUAUCAGGUGCUCUCGACAGUGAGAAUUUUAUGGAACAGACAAACAUACGAAAACAGGACUUGCGCAAGUUUCAAAUCAUUGAAUGGAUGCGCCCCGAUAAAACAAUAUUAAUAAUCUUGAUUCUUAUUCUCAUUAUUGCUCCGUUGCUCGUGGAUACUCUAUUUCAGGUAUAUACUCUAUUUCAGCGCUCUAAGUCGUCGGUUCAGUUCAGUGAAGGUGCAGGCGCUUAUUUACUUGUGUGAAACGAAGAAACUCUGUUAGCGCAAUAAUCAACGUGUUCUCUUGCUUGUUUAUUUGUUCCUAAUACUUUAUCUAAUUCUUUACGCUUAAGCUUAUUUGCUUUAAUAAGACCCCACCUAUGCUUCUCGCCCUGGAUCCUAUUGCUAAUGCAGAUCUUGUGUCUAGUCUAAGGCUUAAAACCAGACUUGCUCCUUACUCACAGCUUUGCUUAGACUGCUUCCCUUUCUUAUGAAUCAGCCUGAACUUUAAUGCUUGGACACUGUUUCCCUCUCUUUGGAAUCUGAUCCGGAUCCUAGCUUAUGAAACUGCUUAUACUGACUUACUUUCGCCAAACACCAGUCAUUGAACUUGCUUGCUAUGAGGAGUCUCUCAGAUUGCCCGAACUCCCAUACAAUAAGCAAUGCUCGAACUACUUCUUCUAGAGUCUACUUUCCAUCUUCAGAUCCGGACUCUGUUUGGGUGGGCCUCUGAUCUAUAUCUUUCUUUUUCUUCUUGACCAUACUCUAUAUGAUACUCAACGAGCUUGGGAAUUCAAUAAUUUCAUAAUGGUCAAUGUAACUGACCUUACUUUCUUUCUGCUUAACCGCUCUGUUACGUGGGCAGAGAGCUUCAUUGGGUGACACGGAUUUCUCUCCCGCUGUGCUGACUUUCGCCUCUUCUUAUCUAUCGUGGACAACAACACUGGAACCCGAAACUUUGGAUCUUAUCUUAGAGACUUGACAAGCACCGUUCCGGCAUAGAUAGUAAGGAACUCAAUUCAAAAGAGAAAGGUUCGGUGCUUUAGUGGUGGAGGCUCAUCUACCUUUUCAUAACUAUUGAUUGCCCCUAGAUUGAAGUUGAACUAGACAGUAGUGAGUGACUGAAAACUGGAAAGAUAGCUAAAGUCAACGCUGCUGUUUUCCAAUAAGGGCUUUCCCACUAAUAAACUACUCAAUUCAGUAUUUCUCUUAUUAGAAGAUAUAGGUUCCACAAGAACAGGAGCUGUACUGCAUGAAACAAGGGAUUCGGCUCGAACAGAAAGAUACUCUAAGCCAAUAACUAUAUCAUUGCUUAACCGACAACUAAGGGAAAGCCAAUCACGGAUCUUGCAACUUCAACCAGAAUUCCGGACUCUAAUUACUCUGCUAUUUAUUCCCUGGCUUCUGAACUUACUGAUGCGGACUGACUCUGUGGAUGUGGAUGCUAACUCUACAGAUGCUGACGUAACAAGUUUCAGUGCUAAGGCGAUCUUUAUUCCGAUCCGUAUUCUGUGCCUGUACUCUCUCAUUCCCAACAACCCGCGUAGCCAAUGGAUUCUUUACCAGAACUUUACCCGCUCAGCUCACUCCUAUACAGGUCCUGGUCCUGUACUUUAUAACCUACUGCUUUUGUACUUGACCUCUUCUCCCACAAACUAUCCUUGAACUACACUUUCCUCUUACUCUGAUCCUGAACAAGCAGUAAUUGAAACGGAGUAAGGUGAGCGCAUAUCCAGUCAAUACUGAAUUGAAACAAGCCCCUCUCUGACAUGAAUUGUCUGUGCGCCUCUCCUCUCUUGUGGACUUAGGGCAUCAAAACCAUGAAAACAGGUGCAUUAAUUAAAGGCACUAGACCAGAGUGCUGAGCUAGGUCCGCUAGUGCUAGAAUAAUAGCAUAUAUAAGAAGAUACCAGCCUAACCUAAGGGGAAUGCCACUCAUAAGUCAGAAUAUACCUCCCUCGCCUCUCCUCGACUUCUACUUAUGCUCUUUUGACUCAAACUAACUAUACUUGAUUGAAACAAGCCCAGCAUGAGACCCCGCUCCGUAGUCAACUACUACAGUUAGGGCUCUGGACUACUACUUAAAGGGGCAAGAAUGACAUUUGAAUAACAGACCUCUGAAAGGAGAAGAAACAGACUCAAUUUGGACUCCGGGCCAAGCUUAGUAGCUAUAGCACAGGUUUGAUUCCGAUACUGCUUAGUUCUAUUCUGACUCUGUGCCAAACUAUCCAUUAUAGGACUUACUUGUUCCAUUCUGCAAAUUACCAGUUUGAUUCUUUAACUACUUAGUUGCAUCCCCUUACUUGCUGGUUCAAUUCUGACUUGCUUCGGUAUCAAAGCCAGGCUCCUAGUUUGUAGUUCAAUUAUAAGUAAUCCCCAGUAGUUUAGAGUUGAUAGUUGCAUUCUUAGUCGAGCUAGUAGAGUCUCCUUUUUCACUCACUACUACUGUUGCUCACCUGUGUUCAAGAAUAAGGGACCGGUCUUCUCCCUUAGUUACAGGAUGAUGACUCUAUGAGCUAGUAUAGUUAUCGGGCCAAGUAACGGAUAGACAAGUAGGCAAGUCGAACAGGGAUUGAUUAACGAAAUAGGAUCGCACAGACAUUGAUUGAAGUCUAUAAGCUUGCCUGACCUCGACUCAGGCUCCGUACCCAUACUAGCUACCCUUGCUUGCAUUCUGUGAUUGACCGGUUUGGUUCUGUAACUCACUAGCUACACUCUCGUACAUACUGGUUCAAGCCAACAAGACACUACUAAUGACCAAGCCUCGUUAGACGCGGUAGAGUUCAUUUCUUCCUAACUUACCCUCUUGCUCUGUAACUCAGGUAGGGAAAUCUACUUUCCAUUAUUGAAAGCUUUUGCAUCUCUUAUAACAGAACAGAAUGAGGCUCGGCUCCUAUUAACUUCUUGAAACAAGCUGCGUGUCUGCUAACUCUGGCUAAUUGUUCUCCGGCUUCUUUUGAACUCAUAUUCUAAAGGAAAGAAAGAAAGAACUCACUUGAAUUCAAUACAGGCACCAGGCAAAGCUACUACUUCAUAAUUUCAUUGAAAAGAAAGUAGGCCAGGAGCUCCAAGUAGGCUAGUUCCAGUUCAUAAGUCAGAAUUGCACUCAUAAGUCAAACCUAAGAGAAAGAGGAAUCAGUGUCCGAACCUGUACUUCCCGCUUCUUAUACCAUAUAAUUAGUAUAAGUCAGAUCCUACACUCCCCGCUUCGUCACCAAGAACAGGCCAUUCUUCUCUAGUAAACUAAUACAGAUGACACUCGGGAUUACAACUCCAACAGGCAAUUGAGUGUCCAACAAAGCCCUAAAUAAUAAGUUCCACUGAUUGACACCUCGCUGCAACUAGAAUGCAAGGAGGAGGAGCACCCCCAAGAUAUUUCUUUGCAAGGCAAGGAGAAAAGUCGUUCUGUUAUCUUAAGUAAUAAUACCAGAGCCAAGUUGCCAGAGCUAUAGGACAGAGAAAAGAUCUUCAUUCACGAAACCCCGGAAAAAGCAUAGCAAACAGUUCCCUUGACACUCAUCUUAUCUACCUAGUUCUCCUCUCCCGCCUUUAAGAAUAGAGGCCCAGCAACGUAGCCGCAACUCUAGUAUUUGAUUUGAAGCGAGGUCUACUUCUGUCUCGUCUUCCAGUCUUGUUCCAGAAGCAUAAGCAUCAGAUCUUAUCUAAAACUCUCCGGAAUACAGAAUUCAACUUCAAGUAAAGAAACUGACACCAGUAGUAGAGUGAGUUGGGGAAAUCAUCUAGUAGUUUCAUCCCGGUCUGAAGCAGUUACGUAUCAGUGCAAGCCAGAGUUUGGGUCGCCAUCCCUUGUCGAAUCUGUUAUUCUUAAUAAUAAUAUAAGUUUGUAGGUAGGAGCCAGAGGUCUACGGAUAAUAAUGAUACCUAUGUGGCCUCUGGAAAUGCCCCUAUAGUGCUUUUGAGUCUAGAAAGAUGGCCCUCCCGCUCGUCGUCAACAAAGAAACAGAAAACUCAUUCACAAAGAUGCUAGCACCCAACAUAUGAAGUAGACCUAGACCUCGCAACAAAGGCUUCUACUUACUGAUUCUAUUCUGAUAUUGACUACUGACUACGAGUAACUGACUCCCUUCUUCUCUAGUAACUAACUUAGGGCUUACUCAACACUCUAGCCUCUCCUUAAGACUUUACUGCUUCCCUUGGAAACCCUUAACCUAUAAUAAGCCCCGAGCUCCACUCCGUUAGUGCUUCCUUGCCAUCUGCCCCGACCUCUCUAGCCCGAACUAAACUUUCAAAACCGAUUGCAGCUGACCUGACACUUUAUACUCAACGAGCUUCUUUAGCACUGCUUCUAUUCCCGAAUGAUAUAUUAGGCCUUCUCUAGCUCCUGCGGAUUCUUUUUCUUCCCUUAAGCGCGUAGCUCCGUAGGCAUGAGAUUCGAUAUUGGAUUCGGCUUCUUUUCUUGAUACUCUACUUGCGCCUCUCUCUCUCUAUAUUCCACUCCUUUAUCUCAUUCUUAGAUACUGACACCAUAAGACUUGUUGGGGUAGUAUUUGUAAGAGGCUCGCACAUCUAGUAAUAGACUCAUAUUUGUAGUGGAAUGAGUUAAAGCAUCAAGUAGAAGACCUAAGCUGACAAACGGAAGAACUAAACCCUGUAGUAAGAGCCUGAAUACCUCCUCGAACAUUGCAUACUUAUUGCCUUGCCUUGUAGUCUUCCACUCAUUGAUUUAGUGCUUCCGCUCCUUACCCCAAAUCUUGAUACCUAACGAUAUAAGUCUCACUUUCCUUACUCCUACUUUCUGGUUUUUAGUAUUCCUUUCCUUGCUUUUAGUCUUACAACCUAUAACUUCAUUCUGACUAUCUUUGCUUUUAGUCUUAGAUGGCUAAGCUAGGCUUAGAGUUGUUGUAAGUAGUAGUCAGGAUUGCACUAAUAAGUCAAAAACUAUGCCUCGAAAUACAGAAUGAAGGGGGGAAGGGCGUAGGUUGGAGUCUAGGUGAGAGUUGAAGUAGCACUCAUUAGUAUAAGAAUGAAGAAGCUCCCCCGCCUGCCAGCGCUCUAAAGUAGUAAAUACAGAAUUCAACAAAGUCGUAAAAGAGUGCGUAGUGAAAAGAACGGAUCAGAACAGGACUCAGUAGUAUCGGAAUGACUAGCAAGUGGGUAAGUAGGUAAGUUCGAAUUAAAGAAAGAAGUCGGAAUGAAACUCUAAAGUAGGCGCACGGGCAAGUCAGAAUGAAAGUAAUAAGUAAUGGAAUAUAAGUAAAUGGAUAAAGAGUUAGACUAGUACUAGUCAGAAUGUAAGGAAGGAGUACCAGACUGAUGAGUUUGAACCCUAUUUGGAGUUUUCUUCUAUUAUGGGGCCGCCAGUGAGAUUAUCUAUUGCUAUUUUCGUUCUUGCCUGGAGUAUCGAUCCUUAUUAGUAGUGAUGUAAGUUUGGAAGCGAGCAAAGUCAGACUAAUAGAAAGGAAUGCUUGUUUAAAAGAAUGAAAUAGAAUACUGAUUGAUAUAGGGAUGGGCGCCUUAAAGGCAUUAGUUGUAGAAUGAGAUAAAGCAAAAGGAGGUUUAGGUUGAAAAGCAGUAAAGCAGUAAAGCAGGACUCAAAGCAAGCAGAGGUAGACUCGAGCUAGUAAGUAAGGAUCCAAACCCAUAGUCAAAGAAUCCAAGUCAGCAGUAAAAGAAUCCAAAUAAGGAGUUGUGGAAUAAAAUACUGGAAAGGCAGGCUUAAACAGCAGCUACAGUAUUAGAAGCGAUAGCUCCAUUCUUACUAGCAGAGGAAUCAGACUCGGAUGUAACGUACCCAACUUUCAUCUAAUAAAGGACAUAUAGGUCAGAGGUGGAAGAGAAGCUAGAGAAGUCUCUGUUUAGGAAGCAAGAUCCGAUCCGGGCUGGGGUUGGUUUAUUUACUUACUUAUGUGCUAGGCGAGAUAGAUUCCAAUUCCGUAGUUGUUGACAAGGCGCUUGAAAGGAAAGAAUCAAUUGGGUAAGCCUCAAACAGGACUUGGCGGACACAGGACUUGAGUAGAGAGAUCAGUUUCUAAGGACUAAGUGAGCUAACGGGAGCAAGAUCGGUCUACUUUGAAAUGCAUUAUUUAUCAUCGCCAAGAUGUUUUUCGAAGGUUUGUUUGAUUGACCAUUCAACUAAGAAACGGCCCUUAUAAUUAAUUGAUUCCUAACAUAUUUCUGGUUCCUUCCCUGAACUAAUUGAACAAGUUUACUUACCUCUCCUCUUGACACUAGCUGCCAGAAGAUCAACUUAUUUCCGUAUCUAUCCUGGGAAAGAAAAUGAGACAUUAAACAAAUUGAAGCAUAUUUAUAGCCCCUUCAUCGCCGAUGUCCCUGGACUCCACGUACUCCUGUAAACGCCGCUGGUUCACUCUAUGGCGAUUUAGACAAGAUCGCACUUGAGACAUCCCGGAGAUCAAAGAAUUCGGCUAGGUUACCGUGGCUAGCAAAGUUCAAUGACGGAAGGAUCGGUUCAUCAUCGGGACUAGCAGCAACACCUGCGUUCAAUUCCUCGUAAAGCGGGCAACCCUAAACAUUGCCAAACCAAAAGACGUGGUGGCGCUUUGGAUUCGAGUUUUCCCUCUCUGGAAUCUUAUGAGUAUGGGUUUUGCUAGUGUAGUAACUCCUUAAAUGUGGGCGAGGAACUCUCUUCUCGAGUCGUAAGCCACUUAUUCAUGUGGUAGUGUUACCCAAGGUGUUCUUUAAGGGCUCAUAAGAGUUUUCCUCGUCACGUCGUUCAUUAACGGCUAAGGCCUGGUAACAUGAAUGAACCUGGUAACAUGAAUGAACCCGGCGGCUGGUUAUGGAGGGGCAGCGCUUUCCAGUCGACGGAUACUGAUACAGAAAAGCGAUAUAACUCAAGAUCGGCAAUAGGCGACUCAUAGUUUGUUAAGUGACAGUUCAAAGUAAGGAUAGAAAGGUAAAAAACACAUAUGAAAGGAACGAGAGCAAGAGAGAAAUAGGCCAGCUCAUGUAGACCCGGACCAUGCAACGAGCAACUACUCUUACUAAUGUACCAAAGAAGAUCGUGGAGGAAACAAAGACAUGAGGAGCAUGAUACAAAUGGGACAUAGGAGGAAUCGAAGUGGUUUCGAAUCCAAGGUACUUACUUCACUUGUUAUGGUUCUCCUGAGGUUAAAGGAAGGGCUUAGUUCUGCGGGAUAGUUUCAGAGCAGCAAAUCUCUCUUACUAACUAGCUCCCUAAUCUAGCCCAGUUACCCUUACUAAUAGGUAUUUUGCCUAUAAUGAUGUCCUAUCCACCCUGUAGUUUUCUAUAUUCCAUUUGUCUUGCUUGUGUCUAAGUGUCUCCAAGUGAAGGAGAGGCCUAUAUAAGAAGUUGAGGCAAGGUCAGCAGUGUAUUUCUUUAGUUCUAUACCAAGUGUCAAAUCUUUUCCUGCACAAUCUGGAUCUUCUAGACUCGAAAGAAAGCAAUAAAGUUCUAGUUGAUGCGCUUGAAAGAUCUGUAUUUGUGUCCUCUGCGCAACAAGACUCAGUAUCAGUCAGCUACGAAAUUCCUAUCUCCGAAUGCUUGUGAAAGACAUUCUUCUUGAGGAGGCUUGCUCACUCGUCCGUUCUAACCCAUUGUGGAUUCACACUUAGCAAUGUAACCCUAUAACCCGAAAAAGCAGAAUGAGGCCUUUCUUACACACGCUUCAUUGAUUACACGGACUCAGGAACUUAAAGAGGCUUGAAAUAAGAGGCAACACAAAGUCAAGCAGAAAUCAUUACUGCAACUCAGAGAACUCUAGCAGAAACUUCCACCGGCGGGAAUGCUUAACGCGGGGAUCCAAAUAAAGCUGCCAAUGAUUUGGCUCAGAUGGCAUCAGGAUACAGAUUUGCUGUUUGCCUCUAUGAUCAGAUCUGAAGCGGAAAUGCCAUUAACAUUAAUAGAAUUGCGGGUAGGCCAAAAAAAACACACCGGUUAUUCUCUCAGCAGUUGGAAGAUUCAGAGGGGCUGGGCUGAGAAUGUCCAACCUGUUUAUUGCGCCUAUUCUUCUAUCCCAAUAGUUUGACAAGGCAAAAAGGCAAGCUGGAAAGUCAGAAGGCGUCGAGCCUAUUCUUGCAACAGACGUGGCAUAAUUGCUAAAGAAAUUCCUUCCAUACCUCUAAAAACGAAGUCUCCUCGUGGUCAUGGAAAGCCCCUUUGUCUUUGAUUUGGAGUUGCGAAUAGAUUACCCUAAAGCGAUCGCUAAGGGAUGUGGUUAGCUAGCUAGUUCCCCCACUACUUUAUUGAGUCUCAUUCUUUUCCUAAGUAACUUAGUGCAAUAAUUCCUAGUAAGAGCAAGGAAAAGCUAAUCUUUACUUACUAAAAAGCCUACUAAUUGAAAGAAUGUAGGAUCACUAGGAAAUUACCUUUCCAUUCUAUACUCAACACACCUUCAUUCUUCUUAUCUUGUUACUACUCCUUCACUAGCUUAUUGACCGGCUGAUUAUAUUUCUGCUUUUCCUAUUCCUACUGCUGAUUCUCUGGAAACGGAGUCUGGGCCUGAUCUUGUUCCAGCUUCAGAACAGAUAGAGUCACCUCGAACAGAACCUUUCUACCAUGGGCUUCACCUUGAUACUCUUCCUUUAUACUCCUCCGCCUAAUCACUACUUGGGAUGGGACUGUCAAUCCUUUGAGUUCGAGUCAUCUCGGCUUGGCUUCUUAAUACGAUUCAAGUCCACUUUCUCUUCCACCCUUCGCUUAGUCUUGGGCGCUGGCCAUAAGAAUACUUUGUGCGAUGAAGAAGGACUAAAAGAGAGACCUGAGAGUUAGUCAUACAUCGAUUCUUUCACGCCUUACUGAAAUUCCAUAGGACUUACAUAAGUAGAGCAGUACAUUAAUGAAUUCAUGAAAACCUCGAAAAACCAAUGGUAGAGGCAGAAGAACAACCAACGCCCGGCAGAAGAACAAACGGAACCUGCGGGCGGAUCGGAUCUUGCAACGGUAUCAAGUCAGCGGGAAGGAAAUAAGACAGACAGGAAUCGAUAAUAAGCUCUUUUCUAAACAGCUGGGGUGGUGUCUCCAGGAAAGGGAAAUUCAUGAGUUGUGUGUUGGGGAAGGACAUUCCUAUCUUAUUUAGAAUAUAUCAGUAAUAGAGAAAUUAAGCGCAUCAGUCAAAUGAACUGUUCUGUUUACGAGAUCUCAAUUCCUAGAUUCAAUUAAUUGCCCUCGAAAGAUUCCAUUCCUGUAGUUGCUGCAAGAGAUUCCCAAAAACAGGACUUGCUCAUGGCAACAUACUAACUAACAAGUCGUGGCUUGGCUCUUCUCUGUAUAUAGGAUCAAACAAGAACAGGAAAUUGAAGAGAGAGAAUAGGGCGGCGCUCUCCACUACAAAUACAGAAUGAAACAGUAAAUAGAGAAUUAGUGCGGAGGGUGCUCCCUGAAGAAAAGACGGAAGAAAAGAAUAGGGCCAAUACACUACUAAUGUUACGCGGCAGGGAGUUCUCGGAAAAGUUGAGGAUCCAUAAGGUCACUCAGGAGGGAAACCAGAGUCGCUGUCAAAAAUCCCGGUAAAACGCAAAAGUUGAUGACUUGAGGACCUCGUUAGGAGGGAAACCAUGAUUGCUACCAAAAAACACGGGGUUUCUUAAAAUAAUCUGUCUUUUGGACCUCGCUAGUAAGGAAAAUCAGGGUGCUAUGUUUUUUCCCGGGAAAACGCAAAGAUCAAGAUUUCCAAAACUCGUAUACUCGGGAUUAAACUCAUUCAAGUCCACCAGGCAAGCAUCUACUAAGUCUUUUGUUAGAGGCUUUGAAGCAGGGUUGCUAGUAGUAGGCUUGCUAGUAGUAGGGUGGAUUCUGUCGGUUGAUACCUUCUCCUGUGCCUGUUCGAGUUAGAGUGGAAGUGAGCCUACCUUUAAGGAUUGAUUGCUAGUAUCGGUUUUUAUUAGGGUUAGGGUUUCAAAUGAGCUAGAACUAGAAUACCUUAGGUAGGAAGGAACUGGCACCGAGAAAACCCUCUAUGGCUGGGUAAGAGACGGAGUUAACCUUUCAUAGUCAAAGGGCAAGCUAACCUUAGCAAGAACGGGAAGCUGUGUUCGGGAGCAAGAGUGAAAGCAAGCAGGGUGCAGUUCCGGGAAGAAGAAACAUUUUGUUCAAAGGAGUCAUCUGCCUCAAUUUGUAAAGCUGGGGUUUAUGGAAACAGGGCUUAUUAAGGCAAUAAUAUCAGUGUUGGACUCGGGUCUCUGUUAGUUAGCCCUAGCAUAGAAGGAAGCAAGUGAAAAGGCCAACAAGCAACAUAGUCAGUUGCGCGGUAGCGAGUUAACCUCCUUAGGGACAUUCUUUGACUCAAUAGCUCCAUUCUCAGUUGAUAGCACUGGUUCUGGUAGUUACUAUAUGAAGACUGGUUGGUAGUUAGUUGCAUUCUGAUCUAGUCUGAUAGGGUUCAAUUCUGUAACUCCUACUUUCCUACUAGUGAGUGUCAUUCUGAUUAUUAGCGGUUUCAUAUUAUAGGUGUGUGUUAUCGACCCCAACGCAACUCCUCUCUCCGUUACUUAUAGCUUUAUGACCGAAAUCAGUCACAGCUAAAAUGAAGCUCUUCGUUCUCAAGUAAGGUUAUGACCAAUCUUCUGCAUCUGUUAUGACCAAUCUUCUGCAUCUAGGCUAGUUUCACUCACUUACCCCUAUUUACAGCAAUUCCGCAUCUAUACCUCUGGCAACCUUACCUCUUAUUCUUAUCUUACUUACAGCAAUUCUUAUUUCUGAACUUCAAGUCCUUUGUUUGCCCCAGCGAAAUGGGAUUCCUCCCUUUGUACUAGAGCAAGAAACCCUGAGCGAGGUCUCGAUUCUCAGCCGGGUAAUGGGUACUUUAAAUACUGUAUUGGAGCCAAGCCAGAGAGGGGCAAAUACAGAUGUUGGAUCGGGUCGGGAGCUACAGAAUGAAAAGCAUGAGCAGGCUUAGAAGCACCAGUGAAAGUAUGAGUCCCGAGGUGUAGUCUCUUAGUACAAUAGUGGAUUCCUGCUAUCAGUGGUUCGACUCUUUACAGUAGUACCUAUUCUUAUAGUUUGUAGUGGUAGGCCAAUACACUGGGCAAUAAGGCUGGUCUGGUUCCAUUCUACCUCUAAUAAGUAGUGGUUUGAUUCUCUAUUUUAAGUGAAAGUCUUAGCUGUAGACAAAGGCCGAGUUCCCGUCCCGGACCAACACUUAGAAGUUGCAGUUUGUUUCCUAUGCCCCCACAUAUCGAUUCUUUGACUUGGCAGUUUGAUUCCCAGUUUCUAGCUCAAGCCUUGUUGUCGGUGGGAGCAAGUCUGACUUCUUAGUUAAAGCAUUGUAAGCAAGUAGUCCAAGCCUAGGGUUCCGUGUUUUUAUUCCUUAGGCGCCAUUCUGAUUUAUGGUAUUGAAAGUCUCGGUUUUGCUAGUGCUCUGUAGUUAACAGUAUAGUUUGACUCUUACUUUGGAGUUGAUAUUGCUAUUAUAACCUAUGUGUGUAGCAUAGAAAUCUAGUAGACUUAUAGAGUCAAUAAAUUCCCUCAAUUACGCUAAGGCAAACCACUAUUAAAUAGAAUCUAAAUUAACAUAUCAUAUGACAAUUGAAUACUCACAUUUGAGAAUGAAAAGCUGUAAAGGUAGCUUCGAUCAGUAGGGUUAUUACAUAACAGGAUUAGGAGUAGAGUCGUCGGAUUCUUAUGUAGUAGAGGCAAGUCCUGAGUUCCGAAUUGAGUGCUUUUUCAUAGUAGGAGUAGUCGCGUUCUUGUUAACGGUAAUUCACUUCCUUAUUAGAAGGUCAAAUAAAAGGAUGAGCUAGUUCAACUCUGACUUGUAAAGAUGGUGUUCCAUCCUAUUCUAUUAGCGCAGCAGUCGAUUCUUAUGACUUGUAGUUGGAGAGCGAAACCAAGGAGAGGUGUCGUUAGGGUUGACAUUGGUAGCACUCUUUCUAUUAGUAGUUCGAUUUGGUAGUAGGUUUGAUUCCCGCUAUUGGUCUUAUCAGCCUUGUAAGCACGAGACCAGUAUCCUCAAUUAUGUGUUUCACUCUUUCCAGUAGUAGGCGCACCUUGUUUGUAUUAGUAUAAUAAGUCAAUAGCUGGCAAUGAGUAAUGAAAGAAAGAGGUCAGAUAGAGGAAAUAGUCAAUAGAGAAUGAAAGGCAGGCUCACAAUUUCACUAUAUACCUUACUUAAAUACCUUACUUAAGUCAAAAGUCUAAGUCACAGUGGCAGAGGAAUACAAGAUUUGGAUGCCGGGUAGUCAGAAUAGCAGUUAGAUGCCUAUACUAGGUUUGGAUGCUCAGAAUAACGGGUAUAGUUCCGGAAGGUAAGUUUAGAGAGGGUAGAUCAGGGUUAAGAGUCAAAGUAAGUCAGUGAAGUCGUACAAAACCAAUUGUUAAUAUAAUGAUAAUUCAUUCGAACAAUAAGAAUAAGAGUUUACUCAACAAUAAGAAAUAAGAGGUGUAGUUCGGGGAAGAGUGGAAUCUGUCUUUGUUGCGCUAACAGGAAGGGAAUAGAGUGAAUCCGGGGAGUUUACGAAUGAAGCAAGUAAGAAAUGAGCCAGCAGCUUGUUGAAAUAAGAAUAGUGAGAAGGCCAUAAUACAUAGGCUAGCGAGGUGAGUCUAAGUCUUAGAAGCAGGCCCUAAUACAUAAUUGGUAGCGCAUUCCUUUCAUUACCAUUCCUUUCAUUACUAAGAAACCUUAGGGAUAGAUCUACUUAAACUUACAAUAGAGGCCUACCCUUGAGGAAUCACCGGGCCAGCUCUCUUGCGGUUAAGUCAGAUUCAAAAGUAUACUUAUUUGCGUCUAGUAAAGUAGCUAUGGUUAGUUACCGGUAUCCAUCAUACCUGGCUAAUGGCAUAAAAGCCUUUACCUGCUCCUACUUAUGAUCCAGCUUAUGAUACUGCUCCUUUCCUUUCCUAAGGUAUGAUCUAGACCCGAUACAGCACAGCAGAUGAUCUUUCAACAACAAACUUCACUGCCGCGUCCCCUUAUAUAUCAGUUCAUAGGACUUGCUCAAAGGUAUUAAAUAAAGGAGUCCUGAGUUUUUGCUUGGUUGCUCUUAAUUCUUCCAUUCUCCAUUCUUAUUGUCUGCCGAUUACUGCUGAGUUCAUUUCUUCCUAACAUCUUGCUGGCCUAAACUAUCAUAUCUUCACCUCUUCUUCUUGAAUUACCUGAAUUACCAAGCUAGAUCUAUACAAGAUACUACUUCGAGAGAAGAAAGGCCUGUUCGAGCGGAAGCUGGGUCAGAUGGAAUUAGGUCUAGAAAGAAGUCUGAUUAUACACCUAUAGCAGAUCUCGGGGGUUUACAAUUCAGAAAGAGUCUUGUUCCUGUUCAAGAAUCUGCUUGUUAAUUGGCAGUUCCGGCGGUAGUAUAGAAUAGCCUGUUCGAAAGUAAUUUUAUCGAAAAGAAGCAGGUAAUUCAAUUAGAUAAGAAGCUAAGCUGUUCGAGUGAAAUCAACGAGUCCUGAGUUCACCUGUUUUUGAGUUCGCCAGACAAGCCGACAAAUGUUCAUGGCGUUAGUCCGAUCUACUCUUGAAUAAUCAAAAGAGGGGCUCUAGAAUCAGCUGGAUAAGCAGCUACAGAUGAAGCAGCAUCCUUACUCAAUCCUUGGAGUUAAGGAUUCGUCUGCCUCCGAUAAGUCUAAGAAGAAUCCGGAAUAGUAAGUGCAUUUUCUCUUUCUCUUUAUAACCCCUGAAACUCCAAUGAAAUGGUAUGUCUCGCUUAGGCAGGAACAAAUGGUAUAUAUCGUUUAGGCAGGAACAAAUGGUAUGUCUCGUUUAGGCAGGCUAGGAAAGCUUAUAUGUAAUCAUAUCAAUAAUAAAGAAUGCUUAGCUUAUAGCUAAGAUUAGACUAGACUGAUUUGCCCGCCCCGCUUACUUCUUUUUCACUCCAUCUUAUUUCUACGACUUUCUGAGUGGAUCUCCUUUUUACACAAGAACAUCAAUUUCUUAACCGGGUCCUGGACAGCUACGCCUUUACUUGAUUCUUCCUCUCUUAAAACUCCUAAUUCCUGACCGACUCCUAGAACAAGCAUCUUCUCUUAUUACUACCCCGGAAACCACAAACAACUGAUUUAUCUCCGACUCCAUAUACUGAUACAUUAAGGCGAUUUGACAGUGAGAGAAAGAAUUAAUAUGUUGUGAAGCUGUCCGCUCUCAGUACUUAAGUAUCGUCUCUUUGGAUGCGCAAGUAAGCUAGGAGUUCUCAGUUCGAAUUUCAUUGUUAGCGAGAGAAUAAGCAAUGUAGCGGUGAAGAAGAGGUGUUGCCCAGGAAAGGUAUAUAUAAAACAGAGGAUAAGAAUUCCGCAAGUCAGAAUGAAGUGAUAGGAGCCGAAUUCCGUUAAUAGUUUUAAGUGGCCAUAGGUAUUGUAGCCAGCUGCUGGGCUUAUGUAAUUACUUGUUUACUGACUUAGUUGACUUACUUGUUAGGCAAGUUUACAUACUGAGUUUACUUACUUGGUUGGGUCGGGUGCUUGUGUGACGCUAUGAGGAAAUAGAGAAACUUAGUAGGCAUGGCCCCCUACUAAAUUCUAUAUUCUCUUUAUAUAGGUGAAUUGGCUUUUCCCCCGCAUCUACAUCUAGUCAUUGAACUCAGUAGUAACAGUAUCGGUGUGCUUAGUUGGAGGCUUUGAAGCUGGGUUGAUUCUUUUGUUUUCUACCUUCCCUUGCCCAACCAGUGGAGUAGUCGGAGUAGUGUAGUCCAGAGCAACAACUUUAUGAGUUGACAGAGGCUCGGGUAGUUUACUUACUUGGAAGAAAAAACAAUCAAUGAUCAAUCACAAAAAACACGAAAUAAAAGUGCUCAUUUUUGACUACCUUUUCUGUACUAGUUAGGAAGGGAAAAAUAGUAGAUAAUGGAAUAUAAGAAAACAUAAGUGACUUGGCCCGAUAACUAUACUAGCUCAUAGCAGCUGAAGAUACUGGUGAAGUUUCUGAUCUAUGGUUUACAGCACCAACUAGUAGUAGUCCUGUUUACAGGUAAGGGAGUCGAGGUCGGCAAGAGAAUAAGUCUCGUCUCUUUCUUUGGCUUUGAAGUUAGGUGGGGAGCUAGUAAGUGGUCAAGAGCAAGUCCUUUUGGGGGAGCUGAGCUAGCAAGUGAAGUUGAUUCAGAAAGUGCAAGUGGUAUUCGAGUUCUUGUUUCAGCAGUUGUCCUAUAUAAGAGAGAAAUGAGAUCCAUUGAGCUGGUCUACUUGUCCGUGAAUUCCCAGUUGCAUCUGUAUUAGUUGACAGAGGAGUAAGAGAAGAGGCAAGAUCCGAGGCAAGAUCAGAGGAGAGGUCCGGCCAGUCAGAUAGAGUUAGUUCGGGCAAGAGAACUAGAGUUGUUAGUUGAAAGAGCAAGAUCAGAGGGAGAUGAGAAAGCAGCAGGGCGUGUUGAAAGAAGUAUUGGUUGCCCAAGUCCUGUGUUCGGGUGCUCCUACUAGGCCAGUAAUACUUUAGCCUUAAGCGCUAGGUGGGAAUUCGAAAAGAGAUCAUCCUCCUUAAAGGAUUUAACUAGAACUGGCAAUGAUUAUAAAGACUUUAGCGCAUCAGAAGCACAAGGUGCUGAAAGCCUGAAGAACCUACACACCGAGAUAUCGCACCGUUGAUUCAUUUUCGUCGACAACACACGCGAAACGGCACUAGAAUAAGCCCUGACCUUAACAGCUACGCCUGGGCAAGCAAGUUCAAGUAUUGUUUCUUUGGGUGCUCGUGUAAAGCAUAUAAGCACUGUUAUGGAACUGCCUACUAAAUGAGAUAAUCUGUCUCUUUGAUUCCUAAUUCCCUACUACACUGGAUCGGUGCUCUCUGAAAGGGGUGAGUAAUCCGUUUGGGUGAGUCAUCCGUAGAGUAAGCUGAUUGGUUACCGCUAGUUGGGUAAUAGCAGUAAGAUGUGUUUUUAGUGAAUUCUAUAUGUGGAUAGCUAUAUGAAUUGAAUGGAGUGCAAAUCCUCUAUAAGUAAAGUAACAAAACACUCAACUUAUGAGAAAAGAAGAAAUAUAAGUGUGCACAUAUGAGUGAAUUGAAUAAUCUUACCAUUCAGAUAUACAAUACUAUACGGAAUCAAAUCAUAUAAUUGCACAUAUUUGCUUAUCCUCCUGGAAAAAGAGACUGCUACCGAGGCUAGGGUCCUCCUUCUUGUAAAAGAGACUGCUACGAAGGUAUUCCUGUAAAAGAGACUGCUACCGAGGCUAGGGUAUUCCUGUAAAAGAGACUGCUACGAAGGUAUUCUUGUAAAAGAGACUGCUACAAAAAGGUGUAAUUGAGUUGAAUGAAGAGUUUCUUGGAUGACAUUUGCUUGCUCCUUGAAUUACACUUGCUUGCUCAUUGCUAAUCAUCUAUGUGGGAAGUGGCCUGGCCUCCUUAUUUCAUUUUUCUUAUUCAUUGGCGUGCACACACAUAUUCUAUAUUUAUGUAACUUCACUGCUUACCCUGUUUAUGAUCCUAUUUUCUUAUCUCUUAUACAUAGCAUCUCUAUCACUCUUACAGUAGACUCCUUUACUCUUACAGUAGACUCCUUUACUUUUAAGAGAACUUUGAUUUGUGUGACGAAGAGUCCAGGAAAGAGCAGCACAGCAGGCGAUGUUACUAUAAGGUGGAUAACUCUGGAACUCCUCUAACUCAGGUGCCGGUAUUGAAUAUGGGCCAGAAUACAACACUUGCUAGUGCAUUCAAGUAAGUAAUAGAGUUCUAAUAAGACAAGUCAGAAUAUAAGUUCAGUAUAAGGCCAGAAUACAACACUUGCCUUGCCAUCGGAUUAGAAUAAGACAAGAGGGUAAGUAUAAGAGCCCAUCAACUACUGUCGACUUCGGUGUUAUGAGUGAGUUUUUAAGCAUAGGUGUUAUGAGUGAGUUUUUAAGCAUAGGUCAAAGCUACCUUAUUUCUCUAAGUCUGCAAGGAGAGUUAGAGUUUGUUGAGUUAGAAUCGGGUCGGGGUGAACUCCACUAUUGCUCUGUACUCUGGACUACUCCACUGGUGAAACCGGACUACUCUACUGGUUGGGGAAAGGAAGUAGCACAUACUACUGUCUGUAACUAAGGGACCGAUCGCCCGAAAGAUUGAGUUAUGAGCAAGUCAAGCCUGUUAAUAGAUGAAUUCCUUUCUGUAAUAGGUAAAACAUCCACCCCCCCUUGCGAAGGAAGGAAAAAAAGGAUGAUUUGGAAAAUGCUUCUUAUUAGUAUUGAUAGCAAUUGAAAUAGAUAACUGAAUAGGCAGAAUUCAGAAGUUAUGAAUUAAGGAGCAGACGAGGAGGAGUCCAAGAAUGGCUGUUUGUUGUAUUGCGGACAAAGUAUGCUAUUUUCAGAGGAGAGAAGAGAAGGAGUCCAAGAGUGGCUGUUGUAUUGCGGACAAAGUAUGCUAUUUCAGAGGAUAGAAGGAGCAGCGGAAAAAAGUGCCUCAUCGCGGACGACUCACCAAAGCACUACAGGAUCUUUCAUCUGCGCAAUCCCCACUUCAGAACUUCCGCUGCUUUCGAAAAACGGAAGAAAUUCUCAAUUGGAUUAGAAGAAGAUAUUGAUUCGAAAUGAUAUUCUAAGGAAUAAGAUAUUGUUUAUUUGACUUAUAUAUUCUAUGUGGAAUCUUAUAUCUUCUAUAUUUCUUAUUUAUUGCAAACCCGACACCUCUCCUCUUUUAUCUGAGCUUGAUUCUGUUGAUUACAAAAUCCAUCCGGAAACUGUGGAGAAGGAAAACCCUAGAAAAGCGCUUUGCCCUAGACCUUGACCUCUAAUCCUAUAAAAUGAAUUGAGCUUCCUCAAUAACUAAUAUGCCUCGGAGAACAACACCAAUCCGUUGCAUUUGAAGAUGGGUCUUGUCAUCGCACGGACCAUGACAAGAGAAAGGGCUGUUGCUAGGCUAGUGGAAAAUACCUGUUCCAAUCUAGGAUCGGUUGAGACUCAACACUCGGGGAUAUAUAUAUCAAAAGAAAGAUCUCGGCAUCCUAUAGUAGAAAAAGAAAGAUCUCGGCAUCCUAUAGCCAGGAAAUCCCCAAAUCGCUAGGGCAUAUACAUCUUGAUUCUUUAUCCCCCAAGAGAAUCCGACAAUAAUUCCAUUCCAUAUCUCAAAUAUAGGCAAGAUCCAUAUUCCAUUGAAAAUCCAUUGAUAAUAGAAUGCCAUCCGUAGAAAAGCGCAAAGGAGGAUUGAUAUGGCAUGAACCGGUCUGCUCCAUCUGCUGAUCCUCUCCGGAGGCGGGCGGGCAGGUUCUUUUUGUGUGAUUGGACGGACGUACUUUUGGGUCAUUCUCUAUUGGAAAAGAUGGGUAAAAAGCCCCCUCGGUAGUAUCCAUAGGGAAUCAGGUAUAUUCGACCCUUGAUCUCUUCCUAAUAGUUAGUUAGGCGACCCUUGAUCUCUUCCUAAUAGUUAGUUAGGGUGGUAGUCAAUCACUAGCCCUUCCCAUUUCCAUAUCAUAAAUAAGUAUCAACGGACACUUUAAGGUAAGGAGAAAGAAGUGAACCCGUGGGAAGGAAAAAGGAAUAGAAUAACACAAUCGAAAAAGCAAUCAAGUAAUGCCUUCUGUUGUCGGAAUGGGAGCAGCUAUGGAAUUCGCAUCUGGCUAUACUGCUGGACUGGAAAACAUUCUUUCCCCUCGCAUAGAAUCAAAAAGGGAAACGCAAUAAGUCGUUACUAAGUAAGCACGCCCACGGGCUAGCGAAGUCACUUACCAACUUCAAUUCUCUUAUAAAAGGAAACGAUCUUUAAACAUAACCAAUAGCGUCGACUCUUUUUCUUUUGCCCAGGAGUAAGUAAUUGAUACCGAGAAGAAGCUCCUCUUUCUUUAGUUCGGGUUCCCCUGUGGAAUGUAUAAGGUGGUAUGGGCCUUAUCCUAUAUGAGAAUAAGAAUAUCAAAGGUCAAAUGCUUGCUUUAGGGGAAAGAGAAAUAAUCCUCUAAAAGCAAUGUGCCAAGUAAUCUUCUUUGGAUUUUCGACUCAUUAAUUCCUCUUCGGGAGCAGCUAUUGAUUGAAUCCGCAUCUCUUGCAGGACUAUGGCUGUCGUCAAAACCUUGACCUUCCUUCUCUAACUAAUUGAUAGAUUGUGGGCGUAAGACCCUUCUCUUUGCCGAUCUAGGUGACAUAGAGGUUUAUAGCUCGUAAAAAAACAUGGCAAAUAUCUAUAUAAAUAUAGAAAUAGGAUAGGAUAGGACUUAUGUUCGGCCCUUUACUUAUUAAGGCAGCUUUCCCCUCUCAGUUAGGAGGAAUGAACUACAUAGAGGAAAUCGCUCUGUAUGAUAGAAAGAAGUCACCAAAACCCUACUCGUUACUUGCAGAAUGGAAUUCCAUCUUUCGAGCACCUACACCUAGUCUAGAUUGAUGUAAAACACUAUACCUUUUGCCUCUGGUCGCCUUGAAUAGAGACUUAUGUCAACUCACCACCGCCUGACUUAGUAGUUAACCUCUUCCUCUCUCUACAUUUAGUAGUUAACCUCUUCUUCUCUAUACAUUGAGUGCAAAAUAGGAUAGAUGUCCAGUCCACCCCACCAAGUCAGUAAACAAAACAACCCUAAUCAACUGAAGCAAACUAGGGAAUAAAAGAACCAAACUCUGAACUAAGACUUGAGAACAACUGUCUGAAUUCUUAAAACACAUAGCAAGUAGGCAAGCAUAUACUAGAGCCAGAAAUCAGAGAAGGUAGGGUAGAAAACGACCGAGACAAGCCCUCGCCCUCCUUAAAGUAGUAGUCCAAUCGAGACCGGCACCCCUCGUAGUAGUUGUUACUUGUAUGCUUGUUCUCUAUAGCUAUAGCCUUGGUAAGGCAGAAUAGAGGAAGCGGCUUACUCACUAUUCUUAUAUCAUGAUGGGUGCAUAUAUCGAUUGGAUUCAAUUCAGAAAGACAUAUUCGAUUCCGCUGUUUCUUUACUCAACAUGAGAGUAAGCUGUUUCUUUACUCAUUUCUAUGAAAUUUGAUAAGAUUAGUAGCUUUAGAGUUACUGAGUUAGACUUUAAGCCAUUACUGAAUGAAGCUAUCGGCACUCCUAGCUCGCUAUAGGAAUUCAUAAGCAAAGCACAAACAAGGUUUAGUCAAUAAGUAAAGUACUUGAGUGGAGUGAGGUGACCCCUUGACUAUUGAGGACAGAGGCCCCGUUAGAUAAGUUAACCGUAAUAACUUCUUCUACUUCGCCUUUCCUUUCCUUUCGGCCAUCCUUUGAUACUAUCUGUAUUGAGCUUGCCUUUCCUUUCGCUUGAAUAAUAGCCUUCUUCAGCGAACCUUGAAUAAUUGGACGAGAUUCUGGUCUUCUGUAAGCGCCCCGAAAACUCACAUUCGAACUAUCUUUGGCUUCUGGAUCUGUAACUCCACGAAAGGACGGACAAGGAGUGUAAGCUGGACAUUGACGACUUGGACCACUAUCUAUGAUAUGCCACUUGAACCAAAACAGUAGGGGGCGGCUUCUUUUGAGUGGUUUUCACCUAUAUUAACCAGAGCUCAUAGCAAAUCUACUUAUUUAAACAAUGUUUCUGUUCCUUGAAAUGCUUUUUGCCUAGAAAGAGAGUAGCUCGGCUCUUCACUGUACCGAACCUGUACCGUUUACACUUACUGGCAUUAACUCGCUAAGCCGGCAUUAACUCGCUAAGGCUUACUCUUUGAGCGCGCAUUGUUGAGUUCCGAGCAAAGAAGUCUUUGUUUAUUGUUGCAGGAUCGGGUGCUUACGUGAAAGAAUCUGAUGGGACGCAAGAACUAGUAACGGUGUUCUGCUAAUGUGAAGAUAGACGAAAGUCAUAACUGAGUCCAGAAGCUUUUGGAAAGCCGCAAGACUAAACAAGCUGACUUUAUUGCGCUAAGCACCUCUGAUUCUCGAGUUCACUUUCCUGUUUAAGAUCCUGUUCCUACUUGCUUCUACUUGAUCUGUUGAAACUGUUUCCUCACCAGAUCCCGGGUUAUCUACCUAUUGCUUGUUCCGAGUCAACUCAUGAAUUUGCAUUUCACUCUCCUACAUCGCAGAAUUCUAUUGAAAUUGUUAACUCCGUAGGGUAGGCGCAAGUCCAAGCCUUUAUUGAAUCUAUCGCAGUCAGGUCCACUUUUCACUCCCUUAGCGCAACAGUCUCUGCUGAUAAAGCAUCUAAUCAAGGAGACUUAGCGCUUGCUGCUGAGAUUGAUUUCUGAAUUGAAGAAUAUCAUUGAGUGCACUGAUCAUAAGUAACACCUGACUCUGAUUCUUAUGCUCCCGCUGGAACUACACUUGCAGACUGAAACACAAGAAAGACUAUCAUUGCUUAACACAAGCACUUUACUCUGGAAAGCCAAGUUGGAUAGCGAUGUACGAAAGAAUGGGUAAGGAAAGGCGAAGUCAAGUGUUUUAGGAAAGUCUCUAGUUUCAAGUGCUGUUUUCUAGGGCUUAAUAGGUUUUCAUCUGGCUUAAUCGGUUUUCAUCUUAUUAUUAAGAAAGAAGAGGAUAUCAACUAGCCCUACCCUAAGGAUACAGAUGGACCUACCCUAAGUAAAGUACCUAGCGCUGGUAGAUUAGCCAGAGCCUACAGUAGCUAUCAAGUAAGCUGAUGCGGAUAGGGGAUGCUUCACCGAACAAGUGAAUAAGCCGUAUAAAGUCCAGUUAACCAUAGGGGUAUAAUAGAUGUUAUGUUGGUAGCAAAUCCACCCAGUGCCCCCUCUCGCCAACCGAUAACUCUUAUACUCUAUUCUGAUCCUCAGGUACGUCAUCUAGUGCUAAGAAGGUACUUCGGAGAAAAAUGAAUUCCAAGACUCAGUGAAAAGAUCUUAAGCCGGAAGCUGGCUCUUAGCACCUUAUUUGUUUAGUUUACUUUUACUUAGGAUAGUUGUUAAGUAUUGCCAGGUCCCUAUCGUUCAAGAAAAUAAGUGGAGUAUUGUAAAGAAUUUCGUAAAGAGGAAGGAUCUUUAUAAGGAUCAGAAGUGUGCAGCAAUAUAUGAGUCUCCUCUUUCAGUUCUUGGCUACUUUCAUCCUAUAGAGGUCGGGGCAGAAUCCAGUCCUGCUUUAGCUGAAGCGCUAACGGGAGCUUGCUCGAGAUAGUCUCAAAAACGUUACUUGUUAAUAACUCGUAGGAGGUGAAGAAAGGACUACGUUGCCUGGUUGUUGGACUCGGCGCUUAGGAGAAAGUUUGCAUUGUGUCGAGAUUCACUAGUUAUAGAGCACCAGACCAUUAAAGAAAUUGAUGUUUGAGUUGAGCUUUUGAGUUGACUCUAAGCAAGAGAGAGAAAUUGAUUCAAUGUUGCAAGCAGGUCCGCAAGUGAAGGAGAGUUCGCCUAAGCUGCUUGUCCCGCCUCCAAGUCUUAGAGAUAAGAUGAAAUAGAAAGUAAGUCAGCUGCCCUAAGAAAGGAAAUAAGCUUAGGAACAAAAGAGAAGGAUGUUGUUAUAGAUAUAGAUAAUCAAUAGGUCCGAGUGAAGCAAGGUGUCAUGGAGAAUGGCCUGUUCGAAAGGAAAGUGUAGUUAUCAGGGAAGAAUAAGAUAGUAAUGGCCGGUAUUGGGCAGCAAACGGGUAAUCUUCAAGUUUGGUUCAGGGAAGAUAAUAGGAUCUUACGCGUUAGGUCGUGUAGAGAGGUUUCCAGUUUGCUUACGUAAAGAAUAUCUAUGAUAUAAAGAAGCGCACUACAUGAUUAAGUCUCAAGUAAGGAGAGAUAGACUUCAAUCUCAGAGGCCAGUAUACGAGCAAGCGGUGUCAGUUUCAAAGCUCGUAUGCCGCUGCUUGCCGAGUCAUGAUCCACUGUUUCAUAUGUUUUUCAUAAGAAUUGGAACCGCCAGCACCUUCUUAUAUGUAUAUGUAUGUAUGCCCUAAGCUAGAAAAUGAUUCCUGAAAUGGCUGUAUAGGCUAGAUCUUCUUAGCAACCGGGGAAUACAAGACAAGACUGCUGGGUGGUGCGUGAGAGAGGACGUGCUCGUACCUUGACUAGUGCUUAUGGUAGUUUCUGGUAGCUUGCUUAUUGCUUUCCCUUUCUUCAAAAAGGUGUGAGGGAUGCGGAGUUGUCAACGAUAAGUCACGAGUAUAGAGGACUAGAUCUGGCUUGCAUAAGACCUAAAUAGAGCCCCAUAUGACUAUGUUUUCUUUCCCUUACCUAUGUGGUUUUCCACUAGUUGGCUUAUUUUAUUAGAAGAAGGAGUCGUUAGCACUCCCUCCCAGGCGAGCACCCUGAUGGUUAUCGAUUCCUAGGCUCUUAGCACCUUUAUCUAAAUGAGGUAUCUGUCCCGUAGUGAGUUGAGUGUGAGACAGAGAAAGACAGAAGGAAGGAUUCGCUUAUUCACUUAUUCAAUCAGGAGGAGCGUAACGAUCAGCUUUUUUCAAUACUUUAGUUGUCAACCUAAUAGCCCCUUUCUUUUCCUAUGUUCUUUACGAAUGGGGAGUCAAGUCAUUCUUAUACCACUAUUGAGGUGCACAUAUUAGAAGCUUCAAUCCACUUUCCAGGUAAGCGUAAGCAAUUGUAGGGUUAGGGAAGGGGGAAGCUCCAGUCAACUGAUUGUCUCGCCUCAUUGUCUGCGAAAGAGGUUAUUGACGGAGCGGUGAAAUCGUCAGCAUAAGCAGGAGAAGCAUCAGGUUCAUUAGCCGUUCUAGUUUGGAGUGCAGGAGAUUCCCAGUAAGGAAAGGAAGCCCAAUCUCAAGAUGGAAAUUCAGCAUUCCAGAUCUGAGGCCCCUUUCUCAUUUCAUUCGAUAGAAUUCUUAUCAAUUUGAUCGACCCUCACUCACUAGGGGAAGCGCGGACGAGUGGAAGACUUGGGUGUAAUGUCCGGUAGUUCAGAAGACUUACAGCUUUCAAAACGACUCUUCCUCUUUCACUUCUUCUUGUUUAGUUAGUUCAGUAGCUCUUGAAGUUAGAACUUGCCGUUCCGAGUUGCUUCUCUCAGUUUCUGGCGUUAUGAAGUUGUAGAUCAGUUCUUCAUUCUUUCUUGAGUUAUAGUUUUGAGUGUGACUAGCUUCCAUGAGCGUAUAGGAUCCUCUUCUAGGGCUCGUUUCGGAGUGAAACGAACUAUGUUAUGAAUUGAUUUAUUCCCCCCGCCCCCGAGUUAGACUUUGGAAGAGAUGGGUGAAUAGAAACCUGUGGAAUACCUUAUAAGAGAGCCGAAGGAAGGAAGAGCACUAUAGAGCCGGAGGUAGGGAAGGUGCUAAGAGCCUCGAUUCCAGACAGUAUAAGAUCCCAGAGUGUUUUUCGAAUGCCCCUUAAUUUCACUGAGAUCACCAAUGAAGAUUUCGAUUAUGGUAAAGGUUGCUAAGCUAAAGCCUCUAUACUAUGAGGGAAAGCCAAAGAAGCUGGCCUUACUAGAGAAGGGGGCAGUCCAAAAAGGGAGAUUCUUUUAGUUAUACCAGUAGAAAGAAGGGCAGCAGCUAAGAUCCCCAAUCGGCUAGAUGCGAGUAGCUCAUGCCCGGCUCGGGAAAUGAUGUUUGAUAAGAUGGAUUCGUUCGUGAAAGAAAGAAAAUGCAAUGGUGGGAAAUGAAUGGAAAGAAGAGUUGGAGUCUUUCCCCUAAUGAGGUGCCGACAUCUGUGUGAGUUCCUAGGAGUUAUGUUACAACAUCCUUUCUAGUAAGAGCAUCUUUGUUAGUUCCUAGGAGUUAUGUUACAACAUCCUUUAGUAAGAGCAUCCGAGAUAGCCAAAGAUCUGAAGGCGAAGCAAGAACAAAGGUAGUAAUUAGAAUAAGAAGAAUGCUAAUCAAAUCCAGCUUAAAGCGCUAAAGGAACCCUAUAGAAUUUCGAGAUCCCUACCCAAAAGAUUGAUACCGAGUUUCCAGUUCCAUUUUGAUCAUUUUAUUAUAAACCAGCAUCAGUGACUAUCUAAGCACCACCAUAAAAUGACGGAACAACCUGUGGGGCAGUGACUUUUUUGAUAUCCAUAGUCUUUCUUUGGUUCGAAAGCGAGAUAUCCAUCUAGAUUUUCUAGAAACCUCUGACGGAACGGAAUGCUACUAACUUAUUCCUAUUGAUCCAGUUGACAUUAACUCAGUCAGUAGUUUGCCGUUGAUUUCAUUUAGUUGACCGAGAAUCCGGAGCUGCACCAUAAGGGGGAGGCCGCAUCAGAGCUAGUUGCAUCUGUCGAUUGAGUUGAAUCAGCAACAGAGCCGGUAGCCUCGCCAAUCUAGAUAGUUCUUUCGAAACCAUCCGUCUUUGUAGAUUGAUUGAAGAUUACCACUUAUAUACACACAACUCCCUAUUGAUUGAAGAUUGACCACUUAUAUACACACAACUCCCUUCUUAUUGCUUGCUUGUAGGCUUCUAUUCUAUAAACUCGCGUUAUAACUUCAUCUUGUUCCCUUGUUUGUAGAAUAUUCUAUGUUGUGCACUUCUUCAACUUCAUUAUGUAAAUGGGUAAGAAAACAGCUGAUAAAUAAAUAUAUGGCAAUUCUUUUCAAAGCAGUGGGGGUAGCUCAACUCUUUUCAAAACAUACUAUAACACCCCUAAACUCGCUUGUGUCAUUUCAUUUAAGAACUCCGCUAGGCAGCCCGCCAACCAAUAAUACAAUUUGGAUUCCUUCAGCUUGUUCCUAUUCUCUCUGUCUAACUAAAUAAUGCGCGCCCGGAGCUGCUAUUCCUUGUUCUCGGCGACCUUAUGAGUAGUGGUCCAGCAUCAAAUAAGUAAGGGGCAUUAAGGUUAAGGUAAGGCGCCCCCGCUCAUAAAGGCUGUAGAACAUUCAUUGAAGCCUAAACUUCCUGUCUUUGACUUUUACUUGUUUAUUGCAUUAUGAAAUUGCUUAUGAAGUUGACUUAUGUUAUAUUAAUUAGUAUUUGAUUAGCAAAACCAGAUCCCAAAGAAAGGGUUUAUUGCUUUUCUGUUGAACGAAGGGGCUAUGGUGCCAGUGUUUAGUAUACAUUAUUCUGACUAGUAUUGGUGCUAAGCUCUACUCUAUUGGAAGCGAACUCGGCAGUAAGAGAAUUAAGUACAUUCAUGGAAUAAUAUAACUCAGUAAUAGGAAAAGAGCGACUACUAUUGGGAUCCAGCCUAAGAAAUGCACUAUUCUGACUCGGUAGCUACUUACGUUGAUUCUCUCACUGCGGAUUCGGAUACUGACUUCUUAGAUAAGAGUCUACCUCUCUUGACUUUCAUUCUCUGUGUUGCUCCUUUGAUCCCUUAAUUCAAGUUAGAUGCUUCCUUUCUUUGAUUUCCGCCUGUCGUUCAUUAUCUGGUUUGUUCAUUAUCUGGUUUACCGUACUGGUUCCCUGGUUUACCGUACUGGUUCCCUGGCUUACUUUACUACAACUAAGUCUACCAUUACUCGAUCCAAGGAUUGAGAAGGAUCUCCUUUCACUAAUAUCAAUAAGGGAACUGAGCUAUAUCAAUAAGAGAACUGAGCUAGUAUAUAUCAUACUAAGACUAGAGUAUUUAGUAGACUAUUCAUGUUAGUAAACUAUUCUGAGUAUCAGGACAGUGACUAUAGUGAUAGUAGUAUAAUAAAAAGCAGAAGAAGAAUAGGUAAAAUACGGAUAUGAUAUCAGUAGUGGCAGGCUCAAAAGAAGGAAUGUAAGACUAAAAGACGGGAGCACCAGACUCGGGCUUAUCCAUAAUAGAAGACAGUAGUUGGUAAUUAAGCCUUAAAACGGGAGCAGUAGAAGGAUGGAAUAAGGCAUUUAAGAGCUAGCUACGAGAGCGAGAGACUGUAUAGUCAGAACGGAAGACAGGGGUAGUCAAGUCAAGCCUUAGAAGCGGGAGAGUCGAGCUGGUAGUGCUAAUUUCUACUUCAAGUAAUAGCUGGGAGAGCUAGUUGGUGGGGGCAGAGAUACAGCUUAGGUGCCCGCAGAGCAAGGUAAGGCUCGAGAUAUGGUAAAAGUCAGUCUAAAAGACAGUAAGCAAGGUGCUCUAGCUAAUAAACCAGAUUCGGGAUCAGGAAUAGCAGUUUUCAAGUAAUGAGUAGGGCCUGUUCCCGUAUAUGAGCAGUAAGGCUCGGCAAUGAGCAUAGGAGACAAGAGUAAUAGGGCAAGGAAUCAUAAUCCAACUUCUUAUUAUAAUCAUAAAGACGUAGCGGGCCUGUGCAUUAGUUAGUUAGGAUACCGGGCUAAGUAGUCAAAGAAUGGCUAAGCUGAGUGAAAAAGACAGAACAACUGCCCAGUAGAAAAGAAUGGCUAAGCAUUGGAGGGAGUAAUUAGAAUAAGUGGUUUCGGUUUGAUAUCAAGUAAGGAUAUAUGGAGGCAGGCCGAUAGAGGAGAGUACUCAACAUGGGCAUUGUAGGUCCAGUCCCGGUAUAAGAAUAAGAGAAAUAAGUAGUUGACUUAGAGGCCGUUUCAAAGCAAGACAUACGAGAGUUGAACCGAGGCAAGUAAUAUUUGGUUUCUGUGUUGGGUGAAUAAGGCUUGAACAGCUUCGUUCUAUUCUACGAAGACAUAAGCAGCAAUACCAAAUACAAAAGUGCAAAUACUAAUAAACCACUAAUAAAAGACUAUCUAAUAUUGUAUAUGAAAACCCAUUCUACUAUAGGUGAUUUAAUGUUCUAUUAGAUUAUUAUUUAGUGAACCGAGCUGUAAGAAUGAAAAGGAGUAGUACAAUACUAAAGCUACCAAAACAAGUAAGGGCUUUGCUCCCAGUGAAUAAGGCAAGGCUGGGUUUACUAAGUGCAACUCUUAUCGAUAUUGGUUCGAGUCUGUUAGCAUUGUUGUUGGAUUAAUGGACAGUAGCGGCAGUCUUUCUAUCCGUAGCUCAAUUACAUCGAACCUGAGUUUCUUGUUCAAUCCUUAUUUCUAGUGGUUUCAACCUUUCCAGUGCUAGUUUAGUUUACCUAGUCCUGACCGACAGGGUAUUAAGAAUAUGAGUUAGGCGCCUUGUCAGCAGCAGUUAAGGAAUCGGUUUGGCUAGGGGUAGGUCUAUUCUUUUACUUAUGGAUUGAGUUCUUUAUUUACUACUUUCAGAAAUAGGGGUGACAAUUUCAGAGUCAAUAAGUCAACUGGGAAUUAAGAAACCGUGCAUAGAGCUAUGAAAAUCCAAUAAGUAACUAAAUAAAGUCAGCCUAAAAGCAAGUAGAGGACCCAUUCUUGUGUAGUCCAUACAGAGGGAUAGUAAGGAUUUGGAGAAUUCAAGCAAAUAGUGUUAGGUUGAGUUACGAGUUAAAGUGUCUUACUUACGCCCUUGCUUCUUAGAUAAAGUAUCUCGCUCUUGUACUUUUCACCUGUCUUUAUUUGUUUUGAUUCUGACUACCUUUUCUCCUUUUAUGAGAGCUAUGGUUUUAAGAGUGACUUUUUGUAGGCGAGUGCAGACACUAGUGCAGGAGAGCCUGGUUUAAUAGUAGCAGGCCGGGUGCUCAGUAGGAACCGGGGCUUACUUUACUACAGCCAAGGAUGCCCUUACGACUAGACUAACAAGGGGCAAACCCAUAUCAAAACCAGACUUUCCCCCCGAGAACAGAGAAUCUCACUACUAUCAAUAAGACCUGAACAACCAAUGGAAAGAAUUGGACUUAGCACUAACAGGGUGAAACACUACCUAAUAGAUUGCACUAAGUGCCUCUCUAAGCUCAAAAGAUGAAUUGAACCGGUACUAACAAGCCCCGAGUCUUUACCACUCAUACUUAUGCUCUAAACACACUCUUCCCCUACUGAUAUAAACCGCGUAUCUUAGCCUAUAUCUCUUUUCUUUCAAACAAACACGCAUACCCUUGACUCUGAUUUUCAUAGGGCUUACGGACAAACAGACUUGAAACCAGUGCUUCUCAUCCUUUAUCUUAUGCUAAGGUGCGGAAAGCCUACUGGAAAACAGACUUUAGUCAGUGCUUCUCAUCCUUUAUCUGACAAUAAGGAAUCGAACCAGGGCGCCUAAGCCUACCUUUUCCUUUAUCUAAUUCCUCAAAUCUAUACCUUCAUUCCUUAACUACCGAUUUGGAGUCUGCUUUCCUUUAUAGGUAUUACUUUACAGCCUAGCUUCGCCGCCCCUAGCUUUGAUUCUCUCUUUUCUUAUUAUUAAAUUCAUAUGUGUUUUAUUGUAUAAUAUGUUCUAGCAUUUUCCUAGUAGUUGAUUAUAGAAACUAAGUCCCAUAAGUACAAUGGCUAUUCUCUUUUGGAAGGCAAAAACGGCUCUUGUUUUCUCUUAUUUAGUAGGUUUGUUUUGCUAUGACACCUGCGCUACCUCACCCAUGUGUCUGCGAUCCCUUGGGCUGAUGCCCUGACCUACUCGACCAGGUGCCCGGCCUCUACAUUGAUACGAACUCUGCUUUCUACCUUAUACGAACUCUGCUUUCUACUUAACGAGCACCGACACAAACACCGACACAAACACCGACACACACCUAGAUCGGACAUGCACAUAGUCGUGGAGUUGCACCUAUCAGCCUACGAGCGACCAUGGACUAACUCUUUCAAGUGGCUAAGCGCAUUCAAUUCACUGGUCGAAACAACGGCACGGGGGGCAUAUGAAAAAGCUGGUUUUUUGGAUCAAAACCGAGAUAAAUAACUUGUGGUUUUUGGACUGGUUUCGCUAAGCAACAUAGAAAGAAGUUUUCUUAUACAAUCAAAGAAUAAUCGGAUAAAGAGAUAGGGCCAAGCAUAUACUAGAUGCGAGCCAAGUCCUAGAACACAACUGUCAUAAUAAAAGGCCAAGCAAGCCGACAAGUCACCACUAAUAUCAAGAAAAGGUAUAAAUUCUCUCCGAUAACUACUAAUACACUAGUCAAGGUAUCAAUUCUCUGCAUCUAGUAUAAGAGGGUAACUUCGCUCUCCACUCUAAAGUCUUAAUUGAACUCCGUAGUCACAGUAGGAUAAGAGGUAUACCUCAUUCAGUUCAUCGUUUUAGUUGCCAGCGUGAAAAGAGACGAGGUCAACUCUUUUCAUUCAGUAAAGGGAUACUCAGAAGCAGUCUUCAACUCUAUAGUAUAAGAAGUCAGGCAGCUAGCGCAUCUUUUCCCUUAUUCUUAUACAUCUACUUACCACCCUUAACCAACUAGUGGUGCUCUUAACUAAACCACCGGCGUGCUCUUCAAAGUAUGGAUUGAAACCUAAAGUCAGAAUGAAACUCGAAGUUAAUAAAUAGAGUAAUUCGCCGAUGGGGUCUAGUCUAAUAGAAAGAAGUAACCAAAGAGCCAUAGGUACAGGAGCAAUCAAUGAAUAAGGUCUUAUACUCUUGAUAUCCCGACUAAUGGUCUUAUACUCUUAUAAUGACUUGGACGCGGUCCAGGGCUCCUUUAGCUAUUAAUUAGGACUUGGGCCAAGCAACCUUUCUUUCCUUC
rnacentral:lncRNA from 1 species